UCUGCCAAUCCUACUUGUGACACUUUUCUUGUAUAACUGAAAAACCCUUUUCCUUUAUGCAUCUAGUCCUUGAUUAUUACGAGCCCUAAAUACAGAAAAGGAUCCUUUUUGUUUUUCUCAGCAGCUUUCAAUUUAAUUUUCACCUUUUAAUUAAGCAGUAUUUUAAUUAUCAAAUAAAAGCAAGUGAUUUCAUGGCCACCAAUUUAAGUAACUGCAAUGAAGAGGAAGAUGAUGAUACAAUAAUAAUCGAAAUCAAACUUUAUCUAGAACAGAAAAGUUAAAAAAUGAAGCAAAUUAAUUACAACAAAAAUAUCAUUCGUUGAUUACACAUCUCAUUGCAAAAGGGAGUAACUGCACAAAUUCCACAGAUAUCAAACAGCUAGAAACUAAUUAAAUCUGGAAAUAUAUCAUGUCUUUUAUGAACAGGCACAAGAUCAAGGGGAACACAAUUUUUCUGAAAUGGGGUUUCUGCAAUAUUCUCAUUCCGUUCAUUAAAGAUCUUCAAAUCAUCUUCGAAAACCUCCCAUUUUUCUGUUAUUAUCGUCUUCAAAUUAUUAGGUUUAUUGUCUUCUUCAACAAUGGUAGAAAUGACAACAUCUUCUUUUGUAUCAUCAGAAAAUCCAUUAAUUAUGCGUUCAAGUUCUCUAAUAUCUUCUUCUGAUAUAUUUGUCACUUGAGGAACUUCCAUUGCAUUAAAAACGCCAAAAUCCCUGCAAAAAUCAAAAUACAAAGCAAGAUCCUCACCUUGUCUCACGGCUUUUUGAAGAACCCUAAGCGCCAUAGAAGCUUCCGUCUUUCCAACAGAAUAUAUGCUUAACAAAAUUUUUGCGAUACCAUUGCAAAUUUUGCUAUAAAUAUCAAAUAUUUCAAUAAUAACACAAUCCAUAGCAUCAAGAAUUAAAGUUUGUCUCAUGUUCUUAUUCAAGGGUUUUAUCUGAAGCAGAAGAUCGAGCAAGCACUGCAAAUUUUUCAACUUUAUAAGCUCUUGAAGAAUCGAAUCUUCUGUUUGCUUACGUUGAUGAUACAAAAGCAUAGACCUUUGAUCUAAAAAGGAAUAAUAACAUCGAAUAAACGUAUUGAAACCCCACAUUUUCCUAGGUUUCGAGUGCCCAUCGGUGAAAUUUGAAAGAUCAAACGGUAACUUCCCAAUCCUUAAAACAGCUUGAGUUUUGCAACAGAAAACGCCAUGCAUUAACAUUAAGCCUUUAAGAGCGACGACCCAACUCUGAGUUUUUUCCAUGCGAGUAGUGAGGGCAUAUAUAAGAGGCUUCAUGCUUACCGGGGAUGCACGUACCCAUGCAAAUACUCUUUGUGUAUUCUUGUAAUCCACGUAGCUGUCAUUAUGACUAGUGGCUUUAAUAAUCGCCGUUUCAAGAUCAGGGUUCCGGUAAGAACCCUUAGGAGAAAGGUUGGCUACCAAUAAGCUUGUCCGGUCUUUGAGGGCCCCGGCGGCCCUCAGCCAGAGCUUCAUGUCCUAAUGGAUUGACCUAACUCAUUCUGAUAAAUUAGAGGUAUUUAUUAGUCUAUUUUUGGUUUUUAAUUCUUAAUUUGCUAUAUGUGAAAUGGAAAAUUCUUGACCGGCCAAAACCAAAAGAUCGUUGAAUUUCAAAAUUGUUUAAUUAUUAUGGCGUGGUUUACGAAUAAUGCUUGUUUUGUGGAGAUUUUGAGUUGGCAUAUUGCUUGACUUUGUCAUCUUCUUUUAAUUUUUAAUUUAAUUGUUUUCUUUCCUCGCUAAUUUAGGACUGUGUCCUCCCCGGCAGCUUUGGAGUACACGUCGUGAACCAAACAAAAUUUCCUCUCUUCUUUAACCCAAAUGCCACCCUUCAUUUUGUAUUUUCACUUAUAAAAAUUUCAAUUUAAACAACUGUAUCUAUCAAACAUUUUGAUUUGUAGAAAUUUUAAACUGAAUGUUUUAAUUUGUAAAAUUAUAUGAUUAAAUAUUUAUUGAAUAGUUAAAAAAUGCAAAAAUUUUUAUUCCAAAAAUUGUAACCACGUAUCAAAUUAGUAUUUCACAUAUAAAAGUCAAAGAUAUUAAAAGUUUAUAAUUGUUACUAUAAAAUUAUCAAAAAUCAUAAUUUUAUGAAACAUAAAUUUUUUGAAAAGUUUAGAGUGCCACAAGAUUCUUUUACGUCAAGUAUAUGGAUGAAUUUGUGUAUUUUACCUUUUUUUUUUUGUAUGUUAUAGUUCUUUGUUUCUUUUUAGUUAAUCAUUAAAUUGUCUACUAUGCCCUUUUUAAAUUUUAUCUUAUUUUUAAUAACUCUUAUUAAUUUUUACUUAUUAUUUCAAUAUAAUAAUUGCUCAAGUGUUAUUUAAGAUAGAUAUAAUAAGAAAUGUUAUGUGAAUAAAAUUAUUCUUUAACUAUAAUAAUUUUUAUUUCUUAAUUUGUGUGAAAAUAGGAAGUGGACUAUCUUUUUGGAACGGAGGGAAUAUAUAAAUCGAGUCAAUAAUUAAGUACAGUGACGAAGCCAAAAUUUUUAUUACAGAGGCAAAUAUAUCAUUUCAUACGAGUAAAUAUAUCUUAUAUGGUCAAAAAACUUUUUAAUGAAAAUAGUAUAAAUAACCACAAAAUAAUAAAGAUAUUUAGUAUAAAUAAUAACUUUCAAUAGGAAAAAAACAACUUUUCAAAACUUUUAUACUAAAAAUUACAAUAAAAAUAAUUACUAGUGUUUAAAAUUUUAAAUAUAUUAUUGAAAUUUUAAAGUUCAAUAUUCUUUAAAGUAUUUUAAUGAGUAAAGGUAGAGUUAUGACAUAUAUUUUGUUUUUAUUACAUUUUGUAUAUUUGUAAUUUGUACUUCGAAAUAAAUGGUUUAAUAUUAAAAACAAUAUACAAUUUAAUGUCGACGAACCAUUACAGAGAAAAUAUAGUCUCAUAAAACUACAUGAAAUUAUAAUUUACUAUAAUCUUAAAAAUAUUAAUUUGAAUUAUAUGUUAGAAUUCUUUUCAUAAAUUUAUUUAAAUUCUUAUUAAAAGAACUAUUUCUUCAAUUUUUAAAAAUUUAAAAAUGUUGCUUUUAAAAUAUUUACUAAUGCAAAUGAAAUUAUGAAAAUACACAGUCUAUCAUUUACAGUAAAAAAAAAUCAACUUUGAAUAAAUUUAAAAUUUGAUCAAUUUUAUUUCAUAUUAUUUUUAAAUCAAAAUUUGGUCAUAAGUUAAAAUGUUAAAUCAAAUCAAUAAUUAACUAUCAUUUGAAAGAAUUUUCAUUUUUUGUUACUAUUUUUUUUUUCUCCAGUGAAAAAAUACAUAUACCGUGAUUUAUUAAAUUAAUUUGAUGUAUGGAUGGACUCGUAUACUAUGAGCAUGUAAAUACCUCCCUUGUAUAAUCUCUUGAGAGUUUUGUCAAAUAGUCACAUUAUGGGCCUUCUUUUGUAUAGAUCAAAUAUUGGGCCAUUGUACAAGGUUCUGUAACCGUAAGUAAUAAAAACUUAUGGGCCUCAUUUGUCCAAACCCAAAUUCAUCCACUUUUUGUUAGAAUAUGCUUAUUUUGAAUUUUCAAGGCCCAUUAAACAUUUCAAAAAAUGAAGAAUGGUUUAGUAUUAGUUACAUUUUUUCUGUUUUAAUUUGUUAGAUUUACGUUAAUCUUUCGAUAAAGAGGUACAAACAUUAGGAUGUGACAAGGCAACUUAAAAAAACAUUUUUAGGUCUAAAGUUCAUGUUAAUGAACUAACUCCGACAAUUGUUUUUGUGUUGGGCAUAGCCACUUUCCUCUUAAAAAGUUAUUUGCAAUCUGCAAACUCAUUUCCACAAUCAUUUUUGACCCAACAUUUAAAGCAAAUCACAGUAAUUAAGCACUAAUUAAUCUCAUAUUGCAAUUAAUGAUUAUCUAUUCAAAAUUCAUUCAUCACAAUCUUUAAUUUCAACUAAUAAUUAAUGAAUUAUCUAAUUAACGACAGGAUAACGAAACAAAUUCAUCAAUAUGCUUUUCACAAAAAAAUUUUUCACAUAUUAGUUUUAUCAUUUGUAGUUGAUCAUCCGUCAGUAUUUACGGAUAAAUAUAGGCAAUACUUGAUUUUCUUGUAUUAUAACAAAGAUCAGUAAUUUAAAUAUGUACAUCUUUUCCAUUAAUUUAAUUUAAUUUUUCAUAUUUUCCAAUGUUAAUUUUUUUAUUUUCACAAAUUUUCUAUUUCUAAUUUGAUAAAGCUACUGGAAUCCUCAAUAAAAGGCUUGAAUGGCUUGUAAUGGGACCUUCAUGUCUAACCCCUAUCCACGAACUAACUAAAAAGCAAGAAAAAGAUACACACAAAAAAGACUAAAGUUCUAUUUGAUUAUCUAUCUAACUUCAGACAGAAAAAUUGGAAAAGUAAUACUUGAUUAGACACUAAAAAUAAAUAAUUUAAUUUCAUUAUGAAAUUUAUUCUGGCUAUCCUUUAAAUAUUCAAUUUCUCAUAUGAAAUAAAUGUAUAUAUUUAUGAAAUACUCUUUUUUUUUUUUUUUUUUUAUCAUUGCGUUUGUCUUCUAGCAAACAUAAAAUUAUAGAAAAUAAUUUAUAAAUUAAAAUUUGAACAAUAAUUGUUUUUUUAUACUUAACCCUAAUCGUAUAACAACUACAACAACUAUACCUGAGUCUCAAAUUUAAUACCAACGAUAUAAAUAUAAAUAUAUAGACACACUAAAAAUUAGAUAUAUAUAUGAAAUAAUUACUUAUUUUAUAUAAUUUUUUAUUUUAUAAUUUUAUUAAAAGGGAGUUAAUGUUGGGUGGUUGAACGGAGCUCGAGCUCAUGAUCAUGAACAUCUUUUUUUUUUUUUUUUUCUUAAUUGCUUUCUUAAAUACUUUUAAAAUAUUUGUUACAUCAAAUGGCAUGCUACAUAACUUCUAACCCAAGUAGUUUAUUGAACAAUUAACAGUAUUUUUUUUCUAAUAAUAUAUAUAUAUAUUGUUAAAAAAAAAAAAAAAAAUCAUGUGGGGACUACCGACAAGGACACCGACAAGGAAUCUGAAAUUUGGAAAAUGUAAUAUGGAGCCGUAACAUUCCCACGUACACAAACUCAGAGAAUUUGUUUUAUCACAUCUAACAAAUAUUAAACAGCAGAACAGAAAACAGAGAAUUAUGUUUCAUCACAUCUAUUCUAUAGGAGAUGGGGGGCCUAAAUCCCAACCCUUUAUUUUCGCAUUUAUAUAUAUAUUCAAUUCAAUUAUUGUACCUUCUUUCUUUUUAUCAUCCUCCAAAUCCACAUACCUUCACCAUUGCAUAUUUAUUCUUGAAUAUUUUUAUCUAUUAAUAAUAUAUUGGUCGAGAAAAUAAAUAGUUUUAAUCACCGUAAAUAUAAAAAUAGAAGUUCGAUUUUUUCCAGAAACAUAUUUACUAGGAGAGUCAAAAAACACAUUUUUGUUCUACGAUCCACAGAAUUAUACUUCUUAAUUAUAUAUAUAUAUGAAAAAAAAAAAUGAAAGAGAUCUCAAGUCCUAAAAUUUUAUUAGAUACAUUGGUUCUGUUUGGCAUCAGUUUUUUUAGUAGCUUUUAGUAUUAUGAUGCUAUGUGUUUUAUUUUGUUCGAUAACUUAGCGUUUCAACUAGUUUUUAGAGAAUAAAAUAGCAUUUUAUAAUAAAAAAUAAAAAAAAGUUAAGUAAACUACUUAAACAGCAAUACUGAAUAUAUCCAUUAUCUGAAAAUUAAAUAUUAUAUCCAUUCAUUCAUUUUCAUUUUAUCAUGAAGAAAAAAAGCUUUAAAAUCCAAAUACAAACAAACAAACAAAAAGAGGAAGCCACGUAACCCGACACACAUAUAUAAUCAGUGUCUUCCUCCUAAUAUAAUUUUUGUAAGAAAGAAAUAUUAAUGGAUUCCACCAAUUUUUACACUUAAUAAUCAGUUGCUGACAUUUCACUUUGUUGGCAGUAACUGUGAUCGAUCAUCUUUUCUUAAAGGGUAAGCCUCUCACGAAAUUUCCAUUUCUCAAGUUUCGAAUCUUCCUCCUUUUGUCCCUUUUGCAUGUUGUUAAUUACUUAAUUAUUUAUAUUUGUCUUCAUAAAUAAGUUCUAGUUUAGAUAAAACAACUACUAAUUAAUCUUUCACCACCUACAUUAUUCUAGUACUACUAAUAAAAAAUAAUAUAAUAUCUUUCUGAUGAAGAAUAUUUUUUUUUCCUUUUUAUUAAAUAAAUUCUGAUUGAGAUUAGAAUUUAAUUUUUUUUUUUUUUGAAAUAUGUGAAUUUUAAUGUGAUAUUAUCAUUCCCUAUCACACUCCAACAAUUUUUUUAUAUUUGAGAAUAUAUAUUCUCUUUCUAGUUGUUUCUCCACUAUAUAUAUAAAAAAUAUAUUUGAUAAUUUAUAAAAUUUGUCACAUAUAUCCAGAAAUUCUCUAGGAAUUAAUGUUGAGCAACCCAUGCCAUAUAAUGGAAUGGUCAUCUGUUGAUGAUGUCAUGUAUGGAAUAAUAGAGUUUACUUUUAGCCCCUUGAGGGAAUUUCCUAAUUAUCUAAUUUUUUAUUUCAUUAUAUUAUUUCUCAUACAAUUAAUUGGUUAAUAGAGGAAACAAAAUUUUAUUUUGACUUUAUUGGCUCAAUUAUUAUUAGGCAAAAUACCUUUCAUGCUUUUGGCUUUAAUGCAGUGUUCAUCCUCCUUGUCAUUUUUUCUUUAUACUCAUCUCUUAAUUUUCUUCUAAAAAAGAACAUCUUUUAUAAAGACUAUGAUAGAGUGAAACUUGCAACUUUUCUUUUUUUGUCUAAAUAUAUUCAGCAAUUACAAGAAGUUAUCAGUGCCAAACACUAGUGUCAAAGCUUUUUAGAUACUUCAACAUCUUUCAUGACAAUUUUAGAAAUUUAAACAUCUAGUGACUUUUUUUUUUUCCUUUCAUAUAUUAAUCUUUUCAUAUUUUCACAAACUAUAAAUUACACUUUUCAAUUUACUAAAUUUUUUAAAAAAUGAUCAUUUUUACUUUACAUUUUGGUUGUGUUCGGCAACAAUUUUUUAAGUAGCUUUUAGCGUUUAAAUACUACUUUUUAUAGUAUUCGGUAACGUAGUAUUUUAACUAACUUUUAAAGUCAAUAUAGUAUUUUAUAAAAAGUUAAAUCAUAUAACUUUCAACUUUUAGUUUUCAUGAAAAUCUACUAAAACAGUUAACAACUAAACGCUAUUAAAAUAGCUAAUUUUAUUGAACAAACUUAUGUCACCAUUAUAAGUUGUGUUCGGCAACAGUUUUUUUAAAUAACUUUUAGUUUUUUGACUGAUCAAAACACUAAAUGCUACUUUUUACGGUGUUCGACAACAUAGCAUUUGAAUUAGCUUUUUACUUAUAUAACGUUUAGCUUUUAGCAUUUUAUGAAAAACUACUCAAACAACUACUAACUAAAUGUUAAUAAAAAAACUAACAACUACAAAAAUAAUCCAUAAUGACCUGCAUUAAUGAUGGGGAGAAAAAUUGAAUCUAGGAUCCAACAAAUGUAAGUGAUGAGUCUAUGAGUCCAACAAAGCAUCAUCUAUUACAAUAUACAUGUAAUGUGGAUGAUUAUAUAUGUACAUAUUUCAUGAAUUAACCUAAUGAAAUUGGAACCAAAUAUGUAAGAUUGAGUGCAUAAUUUUAAUUAAAUGACUACACAUGACCUAACAAUGACAAUAUCAUCCAUUGUUGACUAAACAGUACACAGCAUUCAACAUGUUGUUUGGAUUUAGUUGUUGGAUCAAGUAGAUAAAUGGGUUAAGUACAUAACCAAGAAACAUACAAAGUAAGAUAAAUGAGAUGGGUCCAUUUCAUUCAAAUCUCAUAACAUAAAUUGGUGGAUUCAAAUCAUAGAUCUAUGGGAUCUUAAUUUUGCCCUAGACAAAGAGAGAACCCAUCACAUUACCCUAUAGUUAAAUGGGUAUUUUUAUUUUUUUUAUUUAUUUACACAUAAAAAUAUAUGUAUAUAACAAAGGAUCUGGAUUUUAUAGGGUAUAUUUGUCUCUGUGAUGGACCAAACUUUGAAGUUUGUACUUUAUUGACUUUCCAGGAACUUAAGCCCUCUAAUAUUUUUGUCUUACUUAUUUUUUAAAAUUUUUUUUAAAAAAUUUUUCUUUUUAAUCUUUUUAAUUCUAUCCUUUUGGUUUUGGGUUAACUUUUUUUCGCUUGUUUAUUUUAAUUAUUAUUAUGCUCAGAGCACGUUGGCUUUUCAGACUCCUGACAGUACCCACCAAACAACUUGUCAGUAUACAUUUUCUCUUUCUCUCUCUCUCUUUCACUUACCAUUUACAAAAAGAAAAACACAAAAAUCUCUAGAAAACAAAAAUGAAGGUUCCAUGAAGGUAAGAGAAAACAAACAAACAAACAAAUCUUUCCUAUGCCUUAAAGAAGAAAGUGAAAUGGGUUUAUGUCAAGUAUGAAAUAGCUAGGGUGACAUUUAUAGGGUUAUAGAUUCCAUUUUUAUUUUCUCCUUCAAUUUCUGGUUUAGUUUCAUGCCCACUUUUAAUUCACAAUAAUUAUAUCAAAGCUCACAUUAAUUAUAUAUUACAAGUAAAGUAAAAGAAUUUACAAAAUAAAAAUGCAUUUUUUUUAGUUUGUGAUAAAAAUAGUGUAAUUUGAAAAUUAUAAAUUAUUGAGCUGAUGCGCUUUUAUUUAUCAAUGUAAUCUGAAGAGUUAAAGCGAAUAAAUUUAUUGAUGGAGUCCCAAUUCAAGGAAAUAACAAACAAACAUGGAUUAGACUCGUGUAAAUUUUAUUUUCAUGUCCUCUUUUCAAGAAUCAAACUACUGAAAAUAUAAUAAAGAUGGUGUUCUCAGCGCAACACAUCUAUUUCUAUCUGCCCUUCACAUCACAUUCUCAAUAGUGUCAAAUUCACAUCAGUUUGAAAAAUAAAUAAUUUUUAAAAUAGCAUUAUCUUUUUGUCUUAAACCCUUAAUUUUUUUUUUUUCUGUAACUCAGCUUUAGAAAUCUAAUCCUAGUUAACAAUACAAAAUAAACCAAUUGAGUCACAUCUAGAGAUUUCUUUUUUAUUUUAUGUGAUUUUUCUUUUUUUCUCUAUAUAUAGAGGGUCACUUUGGUUCACUUCUUUGGAUACCAACAAGCCUAAACCAGACAAAGGACUCAGGUUUCAGUGCAAUAACAGAGGGCCAUUACUAGCUAUGAUGAAAUAAUUGAGGGACACUUAUUAUCUGUUUUUGAUUUUACAUUACCAUUUUUUGUUUCUUGUCUUUUGCUCAGCCAUCAAUGAUACUUCUGUUGAACGUUCAAAUAUUUGUCAAGUUUUUAGAACACAAGUACUUGGAAUUAUAUCUAUCAGUUGGGAAUUAUUGCACUACUUACAUGCAUAUAUAUCUCAACCAUCUACAUUAUAAAAAUAUUGUUGUUCUUCUGCAUCUACAGCUACUGAAUCUUACUGGGAUUUCCAUAAUUAAUGAAAAUAAGAACAUAAAAAUUAAAGCCAUAAUGAACAAAAACAGUGAAGUUAAUUAAGAUAUUUUAGGUUUGUGAGACACUAUUGGCUGAUUGCUGGUUCCCAAGAGUAAAGAGCUAAAGUUAAAUAUUCUGGAAUCGAGCCAUUUGAGCUUUAGCCAAAAGUCAACAAAAUGCUUAAAAAGUAUUAAUUGUUUCAAUGGUAAGUACCAUAGUUUAAUACUAAUUAACUAAUUAUUAAUUAGAUUAAGAAAAAAGAUGAUUAGAUUUGUAGUCCUUCACAAUUGGGAAGGAUAAUUGCCACUUUGCUUUUUUGGAAGAAGCAUGUGUUGAGAAUCCAUUUUCCAUCAUCUUCACUAUCCUUUCCAACUCAACAAACAAGUGUAUAGGCAUCUUCCCUUUUUUUUUUUUCCAUCAUUAUUUAAUUCUACUAUCUUCUUCACCCCCCUUCCAUUCUGUCUCUCUCUCUCUUCAAAUAAAUAAUUAAUUAAUUAGCGAUAAAGUGAGUUAAUUGUAAAUUUUUCUAUAGAUAUGUUCGAUGGAACUGAGAUGUUACCACCUUAAUCUUGUCGCAUCUUUAAUUUUAAAGGAGAUUUAUUUUUCCUUGAAAGUUAUCCAUUUUGAUAAUAUUGAACAUAUUUUCAUACUAAAAAUAAUAAUUUUUAGAGUCGUUAACUUUUAUUUGCAAAAUAUUAAUUUUAUAGGUGGCAAAAUUUUUGUAGCAAUAAUUUUCAAAUUUUUCUAUUAUCUAAUAGGUAUUUAGUUGAUCUAAUUUUACAAGCUGAAGUGUUUAAUAAAAUGAUUUUGCAAGUCCAAUUAUUUAAUAGUAUAAUUUUAUAAACUGAAAUGUUUCAAUAAGUCAAAAUAAAAGUUAGACAUGCGAUAAAAUUAAAGUAAUAAAAUUUAGGGAUAUAUUUAUAUAUUCCGCCAAAAUAAAUGACUAAAUUUAUUAAAUAUACAAUAUUAUUUAAUAAACAAACAUAAAAAAUGAAUAAUAUUUGGGUUCGAUCCACACCAAACACAUGUAUAGGGAGGGUCGAAUAGCCUUAACUGUGACUAAGCUUCAAGCCAAAAUAGGUGGUCUAUGAUAAUAGGAUCUGAAUACUGGUGGUUUAUACCAAAAAAAUAAUUUAUAAUAUUAAAUUAUACUCUCUCGUCCCAUAUAUAUAGACUCAUUUUCCUUUUUUGUCUGUCCUAAAAUGUAGUCCUAUUUCCUUUUUUAGAACAUCAUUUAUUAUCUAAUUUCUUAACAUACCUCUGUUUAAUGUACAUCCACAUUUUCAAUUGAUGUCCAUUAUCUAAUAUUAUAAAGGAUAUUUUGGAAAAAAACUAAACAAAAGAUAUAAUUCAACUAGGGAUGUCAAAAUGAGUCAUGACACGUGAACACCAUUCAUCUAACACGCGAAAUAAAUGGGUUAGGGUUGAGGUUAAGCGAAGUCGUGUCAUAAACGGCUCACCCAUUUAUGAAAUGAAUAUAAACGUGUCGUGUCAUGAGUUGACGCACAGGUUAGGCGAGUGAUCCAUUUAUUUUAGGGUAAAGAGAUAAUGUUAGUGUCAAAUAUAAAUACCUAACUAAAACUCGAUUUAAAAUUUAUUGUUGUAUUAAUUUUUGUUAUUUUAGUUAUGAAUCUUGGAAAAUCUAUACAUUAUAUAUAUAUAAUUUUAUUUGAAUUAAAUAGAUUAAAAUUUAAAAAUAUCAUAAGCAGGUUAAGUGGGUCAUACACAUGUCAAUACGAUUCACUUAAUUUGUUUAUAAUAUUAGGCGGGUUACACGGGUAAUAUACGGGUCAACACACUCAUUUAACUUGUUUAUGAUAUUAGCCGAGUUAUACGUAUCGUAUUCGUGUCACUUGCCUAAUUUUCAUGUCGUGUUCGUGUUGAGAAAUUUGACACGAUUAUUAAAUAGAUCGUAUUCGUGUUGACCCUAAUCGUAUAUCGCGUGUUAGGCGAAUCCGUGUCAAAUCCGACAUGCCAACCCGUUUUGAUACCCUAAAUUCAAUCAUAUUAAUUAAUUUUUCUUAAUCAAUGUUGAAGUCAAAUUAGGCCUAUAUAUGCGGGAAGGAGGGAGUAUCAUGUACUAAUUCCCUUGAAAAUAAUGAGAUAUUCGCUUCUUUUACAAGAAAUAAGAUUACUAUAGCAUUAAUAUUGAUUUCGAAAUAUAUAUAAAAAUAAAUAGAAACUAUAAUGACACCUAGCAUAUGGCAAAAGCUAAUGUUCUAGAAAUUUAAAGAUUUCAGGUACAAUCUCCACCUCUGUUAAUCCUACUCUUUAACAGGUUAUCUCAUAAUCUCUUAGAAAAAAAAAAUAAUGAUUAUUAUUAUUAUUAUUUACUGUCUUUGCUUUUCUUUUAUUAUUUUUAUUUACCAUUUUUUGCUUGUCUUAUUAAUUUAUGAUUAUUAUUUUAUUUUUAUUUAGUAUUUUGCGAGUCAUAAUAAUUUUUGAGGUUUAUUCCUUCAGCUGGGAAAUGACUGAAGCAUGUGCCUCAGCACCUGGUGAAAUACAAUCACAUCAAUCUUCACUCUUUACUGGCUAAUGUUUUAUGUUUAAAAAUCUUACGGUAUAAAUUAAAUUAGAUAUGUAGAAUUGUUAUCUCUAAAAUUAAACAAUGAAAAACGUAAAAGGUUAAGACAAUUAAAUUCUUCUUUCAAAAAAAAAAAAAAAAUUCCCAUAAUUCUAUAAGAAAAUUUUAAUUGAAUAUGUUUAAGGGAGAAAAAAAAUACUAUUUAUGUGUAAAACCAAUUAGCAUAUAUAAGAGCUAAUGAAUUAAUUAAAGCAAGAAUAUAAUGAUUGCAGAGUAAGGAUGUGCAGUGUUUGUUCAGUGAUUAAAUGGACGUUCAGAAAUCUCUGAUAUAAAUCUUCUUAAUCAUAACAGGAGAAAAUAUAUAUGUAUAUAUAUAUAUAUAUAUAUAAAGAAAUUUAAGAAGAAAAGUUUCUAAGUAGUUGAUGAUCAGUUUGAAGAUCUACCAGAAAGUUACAUAAUCCCCGCAUUGAAGGAAAGGAAUCGGUGAAAGUGAAAAUUUUUUUUACGCAGGUCUCAGCAAUAAUUCUGUAUUUGACCUAUUUAUAUAAACGCCUGUACUUGUCAAUCAAUCACCCAUACAAAGAAUUCAAACAUGCAAUUUCAUAUAUUCUGACUUGACAAAACCAACUCCUCCACAGAGCUUCUUCUAAAGAAUAGUGUUGCAGAUGAUAUGUCUGGUUCCUUUGGCCCCAUCUCCACAUCCAUGCAUAUAUUUAUCACAAUACUAUUAUGUAUUGUUUAUGUUUUUUUAUGUAUAUAUAUUUUGUUGAUUCAAUUACAGGGCAAACUAAAUUUAUUAAGAAAUUAUAAAUAAAAUUCAAACCUAAUGUCGGCAGAAAUUGAACCUUGUACCUGAAACUUUUGAGUCUCAGGACCUCAAUUUUAUUCAUCAGAUUGAAGCCACGUUAACUAGAAUUUUAUCCAUGCAGUAUACGUGGAUCCUACUAGCAAAGACUGUCUAGUCCGCCUCAGGGUUUAGUAUUAGUUAAGACUCUUCGCCUCUUCCUACAGGUGUCGUUAAUGAGAAUCGAAUCCGAAAGCUCUUCUCACAUGCAGCCUAUAUUGUCUACUAAGCCACACCCCUUGAGUAGAUGGUAGUAGUUUUUAAUUCUACUUAGUGUUACUUAUUUGUAUGUUUGUUUAGCUACUCAUUCAAAAUGUGCACCAUUGUUUUGCAUGUAAUGUUACACUGUGAUGAAGAGAGCAAUUAAAUCACUUAAAUUAUAAUAAUAAAAUAUCACUUAAUUUGACUAAAAUCAACUUUUUUUUUAUCUAAUCAAUUUAAUCUCAAUAAUUAUCUUGGUGAUAAAGUUGGUAUAGAAAAUUGUUAAAUAUAGUUAAUAGAGAUGCGACUAAAAUUACAAUAAUUAUGGGCGAAAUUAUUGUAAGAAAACGACAUAUAAAAAUAGACGAAUGAAAUAAUUAGAAUAUAAUUUUAAUUAAUUAUAAAUUAAAAAGUCAUUCUAAGAGCCCAAAGGAAAUUAGACAUGUACAAUAUUUAAGAUUGAAGGAAGAGCAUUUAAAAGAUUACCUUAAAAUUGAAAACCAAGUCAUGCAAAAAUGAAAGAGGCAAGAUUUGGUUGUAACUAAGAAGGGUUAAAAAUUCCUUUGUGUAAAUAAUGAUUACGGCCCGCAUUGAAAGAGACUACACGACUCUUACUUCAACUUUACAAAAGCUGAUUAUAUUUAAAAUUUAAUCUGGUUUCGCUAAUACCUAGCUAUCAUUAAAUCACAGUAACUUUUUAUUACCCACUUUUACUUUUCUUCCUUUCUUUUAUUUAUUUAUUUAUUUUUUACCUUUGCAAACAUGAAAAGAAAGGUCACGUGAGGAGGAGGAUGGGAGGUCACGUGUGAGAGAGAGCUCUCAGGCCUGCAAAAUAUUCAUGCAAUAUUACAGUGUGAUAUGAACAAUGACUGUUUGUUUUGUUGUGAGGAGGAUGUUUUUUUGUUUGUGUCCAAAUGUGUGGGCUCAAAGUUUGAAGUAAAUUGGGAUUGGGUCAGCCAAACAAGCCCCAAGUCUCUCUCUUUCUUUUUAUCUAAAAAAGAAACAACUGUAGAGGUAGCGGUAGAGAGAGAGAGCUUAUAAAGCUUUAUAUAUAUACAAAGAGACUUUACCUGCACAAAGAAGAAGGGGUGGAAGAGUCAAUGAAGCGAAGAAAAGCUAGCUAGAGAGAGAAAGGAGAGAUGGCAAAAACUAAAGCUAAAAAGCUUAAAAGCUUAAAGAAAGUUGAUUGCAGAAAGCAAGAGCUUUUUCUUUCUCCACGUUCUCUCUCUUAAAAAACCUUUUCUUUUCCCUUUAAUUUCUUUCUUUAUCUCUCUACCCAUUUUCUUUCAAUCUAUCUAUCUAUCAGUAAAGCUGAAAACCCCACUACACCAAAAACUUCACCACCUGUACAGGGUAAAGAUUGAUUUCUUUCACUUCACCAAUAACAACAUAUAAUCUUCAAAUCCCAACAAUAAUCCAUCCAUGCUAGACAACACCACCACCUCCACCACCACUUCCAGCGCUGCUCCUUCUCCUUCUUCUGAUCCCUUAUUCCCCGCCUUGGAUAAUGGGCUCACCAACAAAAGAAAAAGAAAACCUGCUGGUACUCCAGGUUUGUUUUUAUUACCGGGUCCAACAUACAAGCUUCAAAUUCUUGCUUGUAUUCUGCUUUCGUUUUUCAAGAAUAUAAUUCUUGGGGGUUCUUUCUCUUUGUAUUUUCUUUAUCCAAUAAUACAAUUCAUGGGUUUUUUUUCCUUUCUUGUUUGUCUUAAUCUUUUCUUAAAUAAAAACAGCUUUUUCUUCUUUUUUUUUCGUUGUUUUUGAUUUUUUAAUUUUGAUCGUUAUAAAAUAGAUCCAGAUGCAGAGGUUGUAUCUUUAUCACCAAGGACAUUACUGGAAUCAGAUAGAUAUGUGUGUGAGAUCUGCAACCAAGGGUUUCAAAGAGACCAGAAUCUACAAAUGCAUAGGAGAAGACACAAAGUGCCAUGGAAAUUGUUAAAGAGAGAGACGCAAGAGGUAAAAAAGAGAGUUUAUGUGUGCCCAGAGCCUAGUUGCUUGCACCAUGACCCUUGUCAUGCUUUAGGAGAUCUUGUUGGUAUAAAGAAGCAUUUUAGAAGAAAACAUAGCAAUCAUAAGCAAUGGGUUUGUGAGAAAUGCUCUAAAGGUUAUGCUGUUCAAUCUGAUUACAAAGCUCAUCUCAAGACUUGUGGCACUAGAGGCCAUUCUUGCGACUGUGGCCGGGUCUUUUCCAGGUAUGUUAUCCUUAGUUCAUUGGAUUUUAUUCUCAAUUAAAUUAGAUUUUCCACUAUUUUCAUCUACAAACCCUAAAAAUCCUCAUGAUAAGCGUAUUUUUCUGCUUCAUAUAGAUUUUUCGAUGGAAAUGUUUUUAAGUUUUCUGAAUCCAAGAAUGAUUUCAGGCUUGCUUGCCAUGUUUAUAUAUGUGAUAUUGUGAUCUAAGCUUCUUUCAAAAAAGAAAAAAAAAAAAAAAGAAAAGAAAGAAGUUUCCAUUUACCCAUUUAACAAACAAAAAAGUCAUUUGUAAACUAAAGAGUAAAGACCCCAUCAAUUUUUAUGUUAUUUUAAACUUAUCUGUGUACUUAAUUUAAUAUAUGAAACCUAGUCAUCAUAUACUCCAUGUUACAGAUCCUCAAUCAAUAUUAUAAUAUUUGCUUCUUGGCAACCCUACACGACAAAAGAAAAAACCUUAAUUACCUGUAAUUGGGAAGAAAAGAAUUAAUAAACCAUACACAAUAUAUAAUAUGUUGACCGAAUCCAAUAGUAUAUAAGUAAGUAUCCAUUUGAAUUAUUCCAAUUUCUUGUGAUUUCAGGGUUGAAAGUUUCAUUGAACAUCAAGAUGCUUGUACAGUAAGGCGAACUCAGCCUGAACUACAAGCGCUACAACCUGCUUGCUCUUCAAGAACAGCUUCAAGCACCAGCCCUUCAAGUGAUGCCAAUUUUAGUAUCACCCCGUUGCAAGGACUGCCUAUUCCAAAACCAAGUGAUCAACCUGUCUUUUUAUACUCAUCUUCUGAUAGAUAUGAUGCUUCUACUAGUAGCCAUCAUCAAGAACACAAUCUUGAACUUCAACUACUACCCUCUUCCACAACUCGCAUGUUGCAAAACCCUGAUCAAGAGCGUUACCCUACAAAUUUAAAGCUUUCGAUAGGGUCAAGUGACCGUACAAUCGAAAAGAAUAAUGACGGUAAUAAAGAAAAAAAUAUGGCCAAUGAUUCUACUGGUGAAGAAGCUGCAAGACUUAAAGAAAUAGCGAAUGAGCAAAUGAAGUUAGCAAUGGCGGAGAAGGCUUAUGCAGAAGAAGCAAGACAACAAGCAAAGAGACAACUUGAAAUGGCUGAGCUUGAAUUCGCAAAUGCAAAAAGGAUAAGGCAACAAUCUCAAGCUGAACUUGAGAAGGCUCAAGUUUUAAGAGAACAAGCAACAAAGAAAAUAAGUUCUACUAUAAUGCAAAUUACUUGUCAAGCUUGCAAGCAACAUUUUCAAGCUCCGGCUGCCGCGGUGGCUGCGCAGGCAGAUGAGACGUCUCUUGCUAUGAGUUAUAUGUCCUCAGCAACAACUGAAGGAGAAGGAGAGUGAUCAUAUAUAGAUAAUAAAUAUAUUUAAGUAAAAUUCUUAAGCAUUUGAUUUGGUUUUUGGUUGUUGAUUUUAAAUUUGCUCUGGCCAUAUAUAUCAAAUUAGGUGUUUCAAUUAAUUAACCAUUGUUGUUGUGUUAAUUAAUUAAUUAAUUAAUUAAUUUGGAGUGGUGCAACGGUUCUUAAUUAUUGUGCUGAUUUUAAAAAGAGAAAAAAAAAAUAUAUAUAUAUAUAUAUAUUUUCUUUAAUUUUAAAGAAAAACAGACAUCAUGAUUGGUUCUUAUAAUAGUACAUGUGGUGCAUUAUUUACAUGAAGAUUCCCAGGAAAAGAAACUGAAAUUACACUCAAUUAUAUUCGUAGUGAGUGAGACCAUACUCAAUUAUAGUCAAAACGAGUGAUUUGAAUUUUUUUUCCCUUGUUUAAUUAGCUUUUUGAUUGAAAAACAAUAGCAUCUAAUGAUAUUUUUCUUAAUUAGUACAUAAAAAGCUAUUGAUUACCUGGUUUUUCAUGUUUUUUUUCCUUUACUAUGAUGGAGAGGUUUGUGUUUCCUCUUUUACUAUCCCUCUAGGCUCAUUAUUCAAGCUAUAAAUUAUUUUGUGAUGUUAUGAUGAAUUGCAAAAAUAAUAAUAACCCACGAGUGGUUAGUUUAACGGAAAUAAGUAAAUUUUACUUAUUUAAACAAUUUAGAUUAUUAUUAUUAGAAAAAUUUUAUCUGAAUAUAACUCUGAUUCGCAGAAGGAGAAAGAAAAGUUAAAUUUACUAAUUAAAAAAUAAUAUGAAACCAUAGAUUUUAUUUUCUUUCUAUUUUUCACCAGUGGGUGAAUUGUGAUGGGGCAUGUGACCGUUGGUUUUGAAUGGAGUUUUGCUUUACAUUUGGGUUAUGUUAAAGAUUAUAAUGGUGUCAACAAAAAAAGUGUAAUGAUUAGAAACAUGAGAAGAGAGGAGAGGGUAAGAGCUGACUUUAAAAUCAAUAAAUUAUUAGCAAAAGAAGGCUGUCUCCAAUUCAUACACCUUUAGUUGUAAGUUGGAAGCAUUAAAAAAAUAAGUAAAAAGGAAGGUUUCAAAGGCAUGCAAAAUCUUGAAAAUACAUAUAGAUGUGCAUGAGAAGAAGGGAAAACGAGAAAAGAAAGAAAAGACCCUUUCUUAUUAAUAUGCAAAAAUUUCUUGACAAAUGGAUUAAAAAUUAAAUAUUUGAUAUUGGUUUGGUUAAUAUAGAAAUUAGAGAAAUAAGAAAGGGGACCAUUUGCUAAAAAAUAGGAAGAAGUAUUCAAAGGUGCUGACCCUUAUUUCAACCCAAAUUCAAUGUUAAAUGUGUUUUAGAGAAAGAAAAAGAGAGAGAGAGAGAGAGAGAGAGAGAGGAAGAAGGGAAAGGGAAUGUCAUUUUCAUUGCAUUUGUGUCCCCUUUAAAUGCUUAUAAAAACGCCAUGUUUUUCAGUGCCACAGUUGAAAUGGUUAUGGACAGGCACUCGUCCCUCUCAACACAUGAACAACACACAAACUCUCAAAUAUCGUCUCUCUCUCUCUCUCUCUCUCUCUCACACACACACACUCACGCCAUGUAAAAAUAAAAUUUAUCAGAAUCUGCAGAAAAGGGAGCAGAGAGGGGCAACAGUACCCUUCUCAUUAAUGGAGACCCCAAUUUGCAAUACAUGACUCUCAGUUUAAGACUCUUCGUAGUUUUUAAUUUUUCAUAAAAAUAUAAAUGGGUUUUGUUAACAUUUUCAGAAUUUUAAGUCUUAGUUCAACAAUACAUAGAAUUAGCUUAGUUCACAAGUCAAUUUUUUUAAAUCUUAUUAAUCAUAAUUCAAUUUUUAUAAUUAGGACAUGCAUAAUAUAAAUAAUAUAAAAGCUUAAAGUUUCACUGAAAUUGCUAUUAUCAGUUGCAGUUUCAGAGCAACGUAGAUUCACUAACAUCACUUAUCAUUUUCGAAAGAAGAUAAAAAAAAAUAAUAAUAAUCGGUGCUCAAGAAAACACCAACAAUAGUGAUGUUUUCUUUUAUUUUGUCCUUUUUAAAAAGAAGAUAAAAUAAAACGAAAUAUUUGAUAAAUACUCAAGAAAUUAAUCAUCAGCGGUAGUGGUGGUUUUUUGAGCAUUUCUGGAAGAAUAUAAAACUAAAAAAAAAAAAAAUUAAUAGUGCUCAAGAAACUAACAUUGUUAGCAAAUUGUAAUUUAAUUUCUUAAGAUUUUUAUUUUUUUUCAUUUGAAAGAAGAUAAAAUAAAAUAAAAAAUUAAUAUGUCCUUCAAAAGUUAGUAUUUACAGUAGCAUUUUGUUGAGCGCUCAGACCGCCAAUGUCAGCGGUGACUGCAGAGCAACUUUAAUUUUUUUUUUUUUUAAUCAUUUUAAUUUACUAUAGAAACCGCCACUAAUCGCGGUGGUCACAUAACUCUAGAAUCAACUUCCAGUUUCUUGCAUUAACUUUGAUAAAAUUCUUCUAAAAUCACAUUAGAUUGGUAAAUAUUUCAUCCGUUUCGAAAUAUAAGAGGUUUAAAAUUUUUAAAUGCAUAUUAAAUUAAUUUUUAUUAGUUAUAUAAAAUUUCACAUUUAUCUCACAUCAUUAUAUUAUAUUUAAUAUAAAUAAAAUUAAAAUUAAAAAAAUUAUUUAUUAUUUUUUAAAAUAUUCAUAUAUUUUGAGACAAAAUAAUCAUUAUAAAAUGAUUUUUAUAUUUUGAACGGAGAGAGUGCUGAAUCAUUUUGAAAGUUGUAUUAUUAUGGCCAAGAACCCCUUUAUUUGUAUCAUAUUGUUGCCAUUCAUACAUGGAUUAAUUAUAUUUAAUUUACUGUGUCUGAAUUUUUUAAUUUUUUAUGCUUUAUUAUCAGAAUAGAAAAAUUGCAAUUGAGUGUUUUAACUAUUAAAAAGUUACAAUUUAGUGCAUUUAUCUGGAUUAUUUUAUCAAAAAAUUUAAUGAAAUAUUUUACUCAAUCAAUAAAAUUAAACAUAAAUAUACAUUGAAUUCGUCUAUAUUAUUUAUUUAUUUAUUUUAUAUAUCUUCUCUAAAAAAAUCUCAAAAUUCCUUUCAAUUUUCUUUUGCUUAUAAAAUAAAAUUAAAAAAAUAAAUAAGAAAUAAAGGUAAUAAUCUAAAAAAAAAUAUAAAGUAAAACAAUAGAUAAAGUAGUUCACUUUGAUUUUUUCGUUAAGAAAUUAUUACUAAAUGUAUUUAAAUAUAUAAAAAUUAUUAGUUCAGACAUAAAAAAAUAAAAAAAAUUAGACAUUACAAAAAUAUAAUUAACCCUACUUUUAUAUCCAUGUCUAAAGCAUUUUAACUCUAACUCCACAAUAUGUGAAAGUGGACAAUCCAUAAAACUAGCAAUUAGCAAUAAAAUUUGAUUUUAUAAAUACUAGAUUGAUCUCCAAAGUUUGAGACUGCACUUAAGUUUAAAGAUUUAUUAGAUAAAAUUAAUUGUUUUAGUAGUUAUUAAUUAUUGUAAUAAUUGUUAAUUAUUUAAUUAGCGUUUUAUUAAACGUAAAAAUGAGUAACGUUUCAUAAUUUGUUCCCUCAAAUUAUGAACAUUAAUACAGACACUUCAUCACUAAACACGGUAAAUAAUAAUUAAAAUGCUAAAAGCUAUAUACAAAAACGAUGCGUAAAUCUCGAUUAAGAUAUUGUUUUUUUUUUUUAUGUGGGUAAUUUGUCAAGUUUUUUCACAAUUUAAACCAAGGGGGAAAAUUGCAAAUAUGUACGAGGAGGGUUUUGGCGUUUGGGUUUUCUUCCUCCGCUGCUUUGUUUUGCUUGGGACCACGUGGUGCUCUUUCCCCACCUUUUAAUGCAGCUUCCUUUUUUUUUGUCCACUAGAUUUGGCCGUGGUGGAUGGCACUUUCGUUAUUUUCAUUAUAUUCAAGACUUGGUUUUCCACUUGCUCUUUUCUUUUUCCUCAUUAUCUUUUUCUUUUUAGCCCAACCAAAUUAUUAAAACCAAAAAUUAAAAUUUUGCACUUUAAUUUGUUAUAUAUAUACACACAUAUCCAACCCAAUUCAUAGAUGCAAAAAAUAUAUUUAAAUUUAGGUUUAUUUUAAUAUUCCAAAUACUUUUUAUUGUAAAUUUAUUUCCAAAAUAAUUAAAUAAAAAUAAAAAAUAACUAUAUUUAGUUUAAACUAUUAAAUUCUAGUAUAUAUAUUUUCAAUCAUUUUAUUAUUUUUAACUACUUAACAUGUUAACUAUAUAUUUUCAAUCAUUUUAUUAAUUGAAUGAUGUUAUUUUCAUCAUAUUGAAAUGUUUUAAUUGAAGUUGAUGCUCAAGAACUUUUUCAUGCUUUGCAUGCUCCUCUUAGAAACCAAACCGAGUUUGGUUUAGUGUAGAUGAUUGUGUUGACACUAAUGUUAACCUGAGUUGGGUUGGAAGAUAAGCCAACGAAGUCUCUCAAAACUUAAUUAGCAAGCUAGGGUAGCUUUUCCCCAUGCUCGUUUUCAGAUUUUGUAUGAACUUUUCUUGUUUUUACUGAUUGCUCUUAAUGAAAUUCUUACCUUUUCAUUCCAAAAAAAAAAAAAAAAAAAAGAAAAAGAAAAAUAUGUUAACUAUAUAUUAUGAAAUAAACAGUAAACUCUUACCGUUGAGUUAAUGUUAAAAUUUUAUUUUUUUUUUUUUUUUGCCAAUUAAGUGUGUGCUAAUAGAUUUUAUGUCUUAUAAAAAACGUUGGGUGCAAAAGUCUGAGUUUGAGUUCUAUCUAUUACAAUUUAUCAUUAAUUUAGUGAAUAUUAUUAAAAGAAAAUGUGUCAAAAUUCUUUGAUGUAUGAAAAAAAAAAUGGGUAAGAAUUUUUUUAGGUAUUCAUGUAAUUGAUUAUUACAAUAUUGCAAGAAAAUGUAAGAUGAUGUGGAGUUCAAAUGGUACGAGUGGUGCCUUAAAUUUCGUAUUGGAUCUCUAUUUUAGAUAAUUUAUGUUCUUUACUUCCCUAAACAUUUAAAAAAAAUUAUAUUUCGCCCCCCAAACUUGAUUUUCUAGUUCUGCCCUCAUUGUACAUAAAUAUUUCAUUAAUAAUAUAAUAUAUAAAAUUAAAAAUCAGAUAGGCUUGGGCAUGAACGACAACAUGGCAGUACCAUUAAUUAAAGCAAAUAAAUGGGAAGAGUAUAUGAAGGGGAAAAACACUAAAAUGGAAGGAAAAUGGGUCUAUUCAUUCAUCUUUUGACAGGUAGGCCGUAGGACUAGUAUUUCUUUGCAAAUUUUUUUUUUAUUUUAAAAAAUAAAUACAUAAAUAAAUUAACAAUAAAUAAAUAGUAAUACUAUUAUACCCUACAAAAGUUAGGGAAAAAGUGACUUUGUGUAGAUGUCCUAAUCUUCAUUGAUAGUGUAGAAAAUCUCUUCCACAUGGAAUGCAACAGUGGUGGAGGGAGAAGAUGGAAAAGGACUACCCUGCCUUAAGAAAGGUACAUUCAUGGACAUAUUUAUACAAGUGGACAAAAAUAUCCUCAUCCUUCUUGGCAUUCCUUCUCAUAUGUAAUGAUGGGACCUUAGCUUUUUCUUUUAUUUUUCCAAAACAACCUAUUAAAAAAAUCCACAACAAAAAUAGAAUAUGACAUCAACGGUUGAGAAUAUUUCCACAGUGUGAUUUUUUAAAUUUAGCAUAAAUAGCUUGUUCCGAUAUUUUUUUUUUCCAUAUAUGAAAUGAAAUCCCAUCCAUAUAUAAAUCAGAUCAUAGGUCCUAGACUCUUAGUCCUUCUUUCUUUCUUUUUUUUUUUUUUUUUUUUUUUUUUUUUUUUUUUUAAUGCCUCCUAAUAAUAUAUGAUAUCAUUAUCACAUCAAAAAUAUUAUCGGAAUAUAUUAUUUGGCUGAUUAUGAUUAUAAUAUAUUACUUUGAAUGAUUAUAUUUUCCUUUAACUAUUUAUAUUGAUUUGAAAUUUGAUUUAUUUAAAAUUUUCAUUUAUUUAUUUUUUAAAAAAUAAUAUUUGUGUUUUUUGCUCUUUCUAAAAAAAAAAAAAAAAAAAAUUGUGGUAGGCAAGUGAUUUACCAAAAGACUAAUUUGAUGCGAUUGAAAAGUCCACUGUAUUGAAAGCCCACCAAAACCUGUUUGAACAAAUUGGGUAAUUGGUUUCAAAGUCACAGUGGAUUGAGAUGAAGCAAUUCAGGCAUUUAUCCCACCAAAACCACUUGCAUUGCAUCCCAAAUUAUAACCAACAUUGCAUUUGUGACAUCUUAAUGCAAAUUUUAUUUUUACUUUAUUUUUAUGUUUAUAACCUCAAUUUUAAAUCAUUUAUCUUUCUAUACAUUUAUAACUAUAUUAUUGAAUGCUGACAUAAUAUCAAGUCAAAAAUUUCUACUUUUUUUUUUUUUAAUUUUAGUCACCGGUAUCUAAAGCCUACUAGUACUCGACUAAUCUGGAUUCGCACUGAGCAGGUCCACAAAGUGAGACAGCGCUCCCUUCUGAGUAUUUAAAGGGAGGGACUCCAUAUCCAUGGUUCGAACUCGAGACUUCUGAUUAAAAAAAAAAAAUCUCUAUCAUCUCAUCUCAUUCCUCGGGAUCACUUUUUUGCUCUUUUAAACUUGGGAUUUUCACUUUUAUUUGGUUUGUCUGAAUUAGUUUUUUUUAGCACCUUUGAUGGAAUUAAUUCUAGACUAUUUUAUAUGUAUUUGUAAAUAUGGUUUCAAGAACUCUCACAAAUUAUAUUUAUUUCAUUAAAAAAUGUUCUUUAUUUAUAUUUGUAGAUUUACGUACUUGCAAGUCGCCAUCUAUCAGUUUUUCUCUAUUCUCAUCAUGUUUAUUUAUGUAAGAAACCAACAAUCAAUCUAUAACUAUACUCACUGUCCAAACAAUUAAAACUGUUAAUUCAUAACUAAUUAAAAUAAAAAUAUAUAUAUUCCCAAACUAAUUAUAAAAUAUAGAGUGAUGCUGGUACUAUAUAUGAAAAAAAAUUCAAAUCCAACCCAGAAACCUACCUGAACAUUCUACCAAAACACAAUUGAAACAAUAAUAUUGAAAUGUGAAUCAUCAUGCAGUUAAUUUUGUUCAAAAAUAGAAAAAGAAAAGAAAACCACACUAGAGGGUAGAGCACAAAUCUCCCAAGGCCUAACCAUAACCCAGCCCAAUUGAGAGAAAAUAGAGCCUAUUUCUUCAGUUUUGGGCUCUUUUGAAUAGGGUCAGAAAUGAUAAAAGUGAGGACACUCCAAAGCAAAGAAAACCCAAGAGAAGAAGAGUUGCAGAGACAUAACCCAUAGUAAAGAAAUCAUCCAUUUGGGUUCUGAAUUCUGAUAGCAAAUUGGAACCCAGUUUUUUAAAAAUAUCAUCAAGCUGAUCAAGGUUUUCCUUGAGAUCAUAAGUUGCUCCAAAUCCUGCUCCAACCCCACUAGCCAGGAAGCAUAAUAUCACCUGUUCAAAUUUGCCAGCAUCAAUAUCUGAUGAUCUUUACAGGAACUCUCAAUAAAAUUUCAGGAAAAAAAACUCUUGAAACAAUAAUUUCGUACUCACUUUAUCGCUGAAAAAGUCGAAAUAAAUUGCAGCAACAUUUUUUAUCAGGCGUUUCCCUGUGCUUAUAUGGUAGAUUGCAAAUGGUAAUUGAAAAAAUGUGUAUGCUAUUCCGAUCACUGCUGCAGAUAGCAUAUACCUACCAUGUCCAUAAUCAAACAGACUCAUCAUCAAGAAAGUAGGUUAAAAAUAAAAAGCUGGAAGCAGAUAGAGAUUAGGAAUUUUAAGAUGCUUGGAAAUGGAGAAGUCUGUUCACCUGUACGAGUAAAUAUACUUGAGACGCAUUGUGACUUCUUGCGAUGAUAAAAGAGCUUUAAAUGUGGCAGAAUCGGUUGCAAGAAUAAUAACACUUGUCAAGAGCAAAAGCAUUGCAAAUACUCUCAGUAUAAGUGUUGUUAUUGGUAAGGCCUUGGAAAUCUCAGGUUCUGACAUUUUUAUGAUUUAUGACUGUAUGUGCUUUUUGAACAAAUGCAAUAUUGAUCUAUAACUAACCUAUUUGUUUUUAAAGUAGUUGUUUUUUGUAUUCAUCGAGAAAACCAGAGGAAAAGAGACGUUAACUUUGAAAUAGUUUAAUGGGUUUCUUGCUUUUAGCCAGUUGGAGGGGAAAUGCUCAACUUGCUGAAUAGCUAGAUAGUUUAAUAUAGAGUGGAAUUGUGAAGAAGCUAGCUAACGUUUGACAAUAACUAUGAACAAUAAUUUCGAUGUGUUCAAUAAUAAUUAUGACUUAAUGACAGGUGCAUCAAAUUUUAAUUUGAUGUCUAAUUAAAAAUUACAAUCGGUAUUAAUCUCCUGUUAUACGUAAAACCAAAAUUUAAAAAAAAAAAAAAAAAAAACUCCAAUAACUUAUUCUCAAGUUUACAGACUGAAAGUCACCUCUCCAAAUAAUUUUAACAACAUACUCAAUCUUUUUUGUUUAUUUGUCUAAUUCACCGUAAAAUUGCGUUUACGGAGUUUAAUGUUUGUUUCUUUCGAUGGUUCUGCUUCAUUUAUCACUCUCUGCCAUUCCAAUCUGUAAUAGAAUAGUUCCUAAAAAUUGAAUAAUUAAUUGAUAAAGUCAAUUCUUAAUUAAGGUUUGAUGUGAACUGAUUUUUCAGUUAUUUUUUUCGUUUUUAGUGUUGACUUUAAGAAGCUCCGUAAGGAUUUGCGGACUGCAAAAGAAUAUUAAUAUAAAACCUAACACAUUGAUUUUACGAGCUUACUUUGAAGUUUAAGUAUAUAUUUCUGACUCUAUGGUUGAUUCAGAGAAGCCUUUUCUGAUAUUUAUUAUGAAAAAUGAGAAAACUGAAAGUAACGCGACGCAAAGAAAUCUAACCAAAAAAAAGAACUGUGACAAUGUAAGCUUUGUGAAGGAACUUGAGGUCCUGACAGAGGUAAAACUGGACUUUAAAUAUUGAAAAACGAAAAUGAACAUUGGAGUUAGUUAUUAUAAAUUUAUAAUACUCCAAUUAUAGUGGAUCAUGCUGAAGUGAAAAGCAGGUAGGAAAGAAAUUGGAUAAUUUGCCUCAAUCUAUUGCAGUUUGACAUGAUGCUACAAUAGUGUAAAUCUUUUUAGCUGUAUUUAUCUAUACAGGGAUGGAAUGAGUUGCCCAUAAACUCGCUCAAUUAUCUCUCUAUAAACUCGACUCAAGAUACUUGAUUUAAUGGUUGAGGCGAACUAAAUCCUAUCUUAGCACUUGUAAGAUUGAGUCGUGAAGUCGGCAUUUCUAGAAUAAAUUUUAAUAUAAUCGCUCUCGGUCUAAAAAAAAUUAGUCUCUCAUCCAAUCGUUAAAUAGAGAAAAAAAGAAAAAAAAGGAAUCAGCUCUCUCUUUCGGGAGUUGAGAAAGUUCCUCCUUCAAUUGUUCCAUACGUUUGCUCGGUUAAUUCUUUUUAGUUUUAAUGUUAUGGUCUUUCUUCAAAAAAGAGGAGAAAAACGAAACAAGUUUUGUAGUGACCAUGGAUUCAACAGUAGUGCUUGCUUAGGCAUCCCACAUGCAUUAUAUAUAUUCCAAUCAAUUACCAACAUUCUACUUGUGACAUCUUUUUAUGAAUUAUACCUCAAUCUAAAUUUUUUUAAAUCCUUUAUCUUUCUACCAUUUAAUAAUUGAUGAAUGGCCAUACAUUUUUUUUUCUAAUAUUAAGAGAAUAGAAUUUUCGACUUUAAAUCAUUUCCUUUAAAAAAAUUAAUUUUUUAAUAUUUGAUAGAGUUCUAAUUCUAUAUUUUCAUAUGUUUUUAUAAUAUAAGUUUCAAGAAUUUUUUUGUUUCAAUUAAAAAAAAUAUUUUUUUAGUUAAUUCUUGCCCUACUUUUAGUUCUCUCUUUUCUUUCUAGUUUUCUAAACCCUAAUUUUACUUUGUGGCUGCUACUGUUUAUCAGCGGUAGCCCCAUAUUUUCUAUUUUCUAAUAUUUUUUUGUCUGUUUUUUCUAUAAUAGAUCCGUCAUUUUGUUAUUGUUGAUUGUCUUCGUAUUUGAAGUUUUUUUUUGUUCCUUUUUUAUGAGGGUUUAGUGCUAAACAAAACUAUGAUAUUUGAUUUUAUUUAGUUGGAUACUUUAGAUUUUAAUUUGCAUGUGUGAAUUUUCAAUCGAUGGAGCCUGGUAGUGGCGACUUGUUUCUCCAUUGAUGCUAUUUACGCAUAGCGACGAAAACUCAUUUAUAUUUGUCAUAUGUUACAAAUUAUUAGAAAAACAAUCUAGUUAUAGAAGAUUCAGAGAAGUUAUUAUUUUGAUGUCCAAAUCAUCUAAAGGACUAGUUGCUGCUAUGAAAAUUUAUAUCUUUUGUCAAAAUUAACUCCUAGUGGAAAGUUAUAAUAUUAUAUUUUUUAAUUUUAGUUUCAUUCAAAAGGAUAUGAAUUCCUUUAUUUCAUUAAAAGAUCAGUGAACUCUUUUAGUUACUAAUAAUAAAGUUCUAUGUCUGGUCUAUAAACUUAUUUGUAAUUCUUGAUAUUAUUAUUAAUGAAUUAUAUUUAAAAAAUAUAUUUUUUUUAUUUUUAAUUAAUUAUUUACCGUUGCUAGUUUUUAUAUAUUUUAAAUUGAAUAGUUAUAGUAUCUUACAUCUAUAUUAAAUUUAGAAUUUAUUUAUAAAUUGUGUAAAUUUUAACGGAUGGUGAUAAUGAUGUCCGUAAAUAGUUUAAGUAAUAAUAAUAUUAAUCUAGAGCUGAUUCUCAUAUAACUCUUUUUUUUCAUUCAAUUCUCAUAUAACUCAAUUGAAAUAAUUUUAAUAAAAUUGAAAUGUGAAUCAUCGUACAUGCGUUUUCCUUAAAAAGUUACAGAACUACACUUGAAGCUGGAGCACAAAUCUUCUUGGGCCCAGAAAUAACUCAGCCCAAUUUAGAUGUUCAUUUUUGGGCUUUUUUGGAUAGGGCCAGAGAUGAUAUAAAUGAGGAUGCUCCAAAGCCAAGAAAGCCCAAGAGGAGAAGAGAGGCAGAGACAAAACCCAAAUUGAAGAACUCUUCUAGUUUGGAUUUAUAAUCAGACUGAUCAACACCGUCAAGACUUCUUUUAAGAUCAUAGGUUGCUCCAAAUCCCGCUCCAAUCGCAGUACCCAGCAGAGAUAAUAUCACCUGUUCAAAUUAUGAAUUUAUAUAUCAAUUUCAAAUAAAAUUUCAUCUCAUCCAUAUUAAAUCAAAUAAACUCUUAAAAGAAAUUCUCUCAAUCAUAAGGCAAACUACCAUUGUUAUAUAAUUUGUAAUAUUAUUUCGGCCAAUUGAACCUUCUAAUAAAUAAAAAAAACUCUUUAAAAGAAUUUUUAAACUUACUUUAUCACCGAAAAGUUCGAAAUAAAGCAUAGGGCCAUAAUUUAUCAGGUGCUUCCCUGUGAUUAAAUGGAAGAUUGCAAUAGGUAAUUGACAAAAAACAUAUGCUAUUCCAAUCGCUGAUGCAUAUAGCAUAUACCUACCAUACAAUACAUAUGUAAAUUUAAUUACCAAAGUAAUCAAAUAAUAGAAUUCACUGAAAUCUAUAAACAGAUUGAAAUUAGGAUGGAGAGAGAAGCAAACCUGUACGAGUAAAUAAGCCUGUAGCGAUAUAUUAAAUUCUUAUAUGUGAAAUUAUCGGUUACAAGAACAAUAACCGAUCCCAAGAACAAAAUCAAUGCGAGCACUUUGAAUGCAAGUGUUGCUAUUCGCAGGGUCUUGGAAACCUCAGCUUCAGACAUUGUUAUGAUUUUAUAAAUGUAUAUGUUUGAACAUAUGCAGUAAUGCUUGCUGGGUAAUCUGGUUGUUCUUAUAUUAGUGGUUGCAUUUUGUAUUUAUCAAUAAAACCAAACAAAAAGACACAAAUCAAUUUGAAAAUAUUGAAAUGGGGUUUCUUGCUUUGGAGGAGGAAGCUCCAGUUGUUGAGUAGCUAGAUAGUUUAAUGUACCAUGGAAUUGCGAAGAAGCCAACCUUUGACAAUUACUAUGAAUAUUACUUCGAUGUGUUCGAUAAUGACUGGAAAAUAAUUUCAUAUACUCUCACGUCUCACUUAUUGGUACGUGUGUAGGAAAAGUAUUUUUCUUAAUUUUCUGUUAUAUAUGAACACGUGUAAAAAUUAAAUCCCAAAUAAUCUUUCUCGAUACAGUUCGUAGAAACCCUAAUCAAUAAAGAUAAAGAUCUUUUUUUCAAAUUGAUUUCUUUAUUUUAUAUUUGCAUUGUGAAGAAAAAGGAAUUUUUUGGAUGAAUAAAGUGCUCAGUAGGCUGGAAUAUCAUUGCAGGGAUUGGAUAACAUUUACCAAAAUGAUGAUAAUCUUUGUAGUGGAGGACCCUUCCAUUAGAAUAACAUUCACCAAAUUGGUAAUAAUUUUUGUGAUGGAGAGGAUUCAAACUCGAAACCUCUCACUCUACAUCUUUUACAAGAGAUAAAAAGACCAAUCUGACAAUACAGAUUGGCAGAGAAAAAAAAAACUUAUUCCUUUAAUGUUUUUUAUAAUCAAUUUAUGAAGAUAAAAUGGUAAUUUAAUUUUUAAUAAUAAUAUGUUUUAAGGUAUAUAUAAUAUUGUCCACUACUACCUUGGAUCGUCCUUAAUGUCAUGUUUAAUCCAUGUAUUUACGGAGUCUAAUCAUAUUUUUAUAUAACCGAAAUUAUUAAUGACUCUGCUUUGCAAUUUGGCAACAGCAAUUCUGAUAAGUACAUGGAGAAAGAAACAGGAUUUGCUUAUAUUAUUAUUUUUCUUUGCCGUUACGAUCUGUAAUUGAAAAAUAAUUCUAAAAAAGUUAAUAAUUAAUUGAUUAAUUAGGCUUUGUUGUUAACUUAAGAGGGUGUACUGAAUUAGGAUUAUGUUAGAUUUUAAAAGAAUUAUUGAGUUUGACAAAAUUGAAGGAUUUCCUAAGAUUUGCACAGAUUCCACUAGAAUUUUAGAUAAAGUUUUAUGGAAUUGGUGGAACUUUUUUCAUAGAUUUUGAUUGACUUUGAUGGAAUCACAAUAAUUUUUAUAUAUCCAAUCAAAAUUAAUUUUAAGAUCUAAUUGAACAAAUUAAAAGGUAUUAGAGCCAAAUGAAAAACUGAAAAAAUAAUAAGGGGCUGAAAAGCAAAAUGCAUAAUCUUCUCCGAAAGCAUUAUUUUCUUCGUUAAAAACUUAUCACUGCCGACUAUGAAAGACCUGCAAUAGCCAGCGACUGUGGCGGCUAUUCCACUCCCGUUAAUCACUAUAUUAUACCUGUUUGAUAGUGGGUACCCUAUCCAUUAUAGUAAAAAAAUGUAAAAAAAAUGUAUUUAAAUAAGUUUGAAAUUUGAAUAAUUAAAUAUGCAUGGAUACCCUAUCCGUUUAAGAGGUACUUUCAACGAAUUUUGGGACAGAUACAGAUAGUUAAUAUUUAAACGGCUUCGAAUAUAGGUACUUAAACAUGUUUAGAAUGAAUACGGAUAAUAAAAUUUUAAACGGCUACCUAUACAGGUAGAUUAAAAUUCGCGGAUACCUGCUCCGAUUUCGUUCGGUAUAUUAGAUCAAGAGUCUAUUAGAUUUUAAAAGAUUUUGGAAAUCUUUGUGUUAGAAGAUGGAUUUGUGAAUAAUUCUUUUAUUCAUACAUGAAAAUCUAACGAAAUCAAUAAUUUUAUAGAAUCCUUCCAAAUCAACAAUUUUUUAAAAACAAUUAAAUUUGUAUAGAGUUUUAAAAAGUCAUAAUUGAAUACCAUCAGAUUUUUAUAGAUUUUAUAAGAGUUUGAAUUGAAUACCAUAAAAUUUAAAUAGAUUCUAAAAGAAUCUAUAUUAAAUACCAUUGAAAUUUUAAAAUCUAACAGACUCUUAAUCCAAUAUAUCCUCCGUAAUCUUUUUUUAAUGAAUUCUUUGUUUUUAGUUUCGGCUUUAAUAAGCUCCAUAACGAUUUGCAAAAGAAAAUAAAUCGUGACAAAAUAACAAUAAAUCAUGACAAAUGACAAUUUUAAAUUUUGCACUACUUCAAUUAAUGGAUUGAUGAAUGAGAAAAUACAAGGGCAAUCCAAUAUCUUAUUCUUAACUAAAUAGAGAAUAAUCAAAUAAAAUAGACUACAUAGUUUAUGAUAUUAUAAAUGAAGUGCACCAAAAACCCAAAAAUAUAGUUAAUAAUUCAUCGAUCCAGAGGAGCUUGCAAUCUUAAAAAUGGUGGAUGAUGCAAGUAUAUUAUCCAAAGAAACCCUUUCUGGUACUUUUCAUUGCGAGAGACGAGAAAACAGAAAGUAAAGCGGUGGUAAGAAAUCCAAGAAACAGAAGAGCAGUGGCAAUGUAAGCUUUGUCAAUGAACUUGAGGUUUUUUUAUUUCUCUGCACUAAAUCCUGGUAGAUUAAGGAGACCCUCGAAGGAUGCGUCUACUGUUUUUUUUAACUCAAAGGUGAUCAUAAAACCAGCUCCUACUCCACUGGCCAGCACAAAGGCAACUAUCUGUAAAAGCCAAUUACUCAAUUAACAUACUUUUGAAAACAAGAAACCUAAUUAACUCAUAUUGAGACUUCAGAUUUUUGAAUUGAACCCUGUUAAAAAUAUAAAUUAAUCGAUAAAAAGAAAAUGCAGCACCUUAUCACCAUAGAAAUCAAAAUUUGGUAGGAAGUCACUUUUGAAAAGCCUCUUCCCUUUGUAAGCAUAAUAUACUGCAAAUGGUAUCUGUAUUACUGCGUAGAGACAUCCACCACAAGUUGUUGCCAGAACGAACCUGCAAUAUAUAUAUAUAUAUAUAUAUAUACACACACACACACCACAAAUUACAAACCUUAAUUAAAUUCUGUUUACAAGCUAGAUAAUUUUCACCAUUUAUCAGAAUUUUUAAAGAAAAAUUGUUGUCGCUUAUAUAUAAGUUUAAAAGACUAUGAUGAGGCAGAUACUCGACCAUUCUUACCUAUAGGUACUGACGUCCUUGAAACUAGUUUUGGUGCCGUCAAGAGAAGUAAAUUGGUUGGUGACCAAAACAACAAUUGAAGCAACUAAAGCCCCAAGAGUGAGGAGCCUAAGUACCAGGAAAAAUGUUGGAGCAGCCAUUUGUUCUAUAGUUUUUUUUUUUGUUCAGUGUUAAGACUACUUUUCUUAUUGGGUACUAAUACUCAAGUUCAUUUUUUUUCAUAUAUAUGAACCAAUUCGUAAUAUUCCAAAAUUUUGGCAUAAUUUGGCAUUAUUGACUUUGUUUAAGAUGUUAACCAAUUAUUGACCAUAAACAAAAGUAAUUAACACACACAAUGUUCUUGCUGUAAUUAAAGACGGCAACAAGAUUGUGCACUUGUAUAAUUAAUUUUGAAUAAUCUUGAAUUAAAGACGGUUAAAUCUUUAUUGUUACGUUAGUAUCAAGAAGCAUACGUCAAAAAGCAUGGAAAAUAAUUAUGUUUUAAUUUUUCUUUUGUCUCUAUUGAGGAAUGGGUCAUUUGAAGCAUAGAGCUUCAUGUCCAAGGCAGAACUAGAGAGGUCUUAUGGUUGACCUCAGCUUGUCUUUUUACCACACAUUCCUUUGGUUAAACAUAUGUAAAAAUUUUAACUUGUCUUAGCCAAGGCAUUAAUUUUUGUUUAAUCAUUUUUCUUUUUUUAUAUUUAUCAUCAAUUAUCAUAAACAGGAUUUGGUUAGCUUUAGAAUGAAGUUAAAUUACUUUGAUUGACAUCUGAUUCUACUGUUUGCAUCAUUCCAGCAGUAAGAUUAUAAUGAUCUUCAUCAAUCAGAAUCAUACGAAAUUUUAAAAAGUAGAAAUAUAUUUACAUUACUUUUGCAGUUGCAUAAUCUUUUUUAUUCAUGGUUUUAAAACUGGCUGGUAUAAUCCUACUGAUGGAGCGUCUCCCAUGUAUAAAGAAUUCUGAAACAUGAAUUGCUUUAAAGAAAAGGGGAUAAUUAAUUAAUUAAUUAAACAUGCUCAUGAUUUACUGUUAGGAAGUAAUGAACAAAGCAAAAAUUGAAAACAUUAGAUACAGAAGAAGAACUCUGAAAAGCUCAAUAUAAUUAAAAAUCUUGAAAAAGCUUAAUUAAACUAUCAUCUUACACUAAUCAUUAAUUUCAAGCACUGUUGCUGCUUCCCUUAGCUGAUCCAGGCAUUAAUUCUCUUAACAUAGCCACAACUUGCAACAUGUUAGGCCUCUUGGAGGGAAAAUCAUCAACACACUGCAAUGAAAUCUCCAAGUACCUAACCAUUUCUUUAACUUCUGCUGCUUCAGCUUCAUCAGUUCCUUUAGUGACAGAGAGCAAUUCUUGAUCUAUGACUUCCAUUUGUUUCCCUUCUCUUACUUUGAGUUUAACCCACCCUACCAAAUUUGUAUCACCAAAAUCAUCUUUAUCAGUUGGGCGUUUUCCUGUCAGGAGUUCGAGCAGUACAACUCCGAAAGAAUAUACAUCGCCUUUUGCGGUGCAUCUGAAGCUUUGGUAGUACUCAGGAGGUACAUAGCCAGGUGUGCCAGCAAGUGUGCUUACACUAAGAUGAGUGUCUAAUGCACUUAUAAGUCUUGCCAUUCCAAAAUCGGAAACUCUUGCUUCCAUUUCAUGGUCUAAAAGUACAUUGCUUGACUUCAUGUCUCUAUGUAUAAUAUGUGGUAUGCAAUUAUGAUGUAAGAAACAAAGUCCUUUAGCUGCACCUCUGGCAAUCUUUUUCCUUUCAUCCCAUGUUAGAAUUCGCCUGUCUCGACUCCUUACUCUUCCAUGAAGCAUUUCUUCAAGGCUUCCAUACUCCAUGAAUUCAUACACAAGAAGUCUUUCCUCACCAAUUUUGCAAUAACCCAAUAAAGGUACAAGAUUUCUAUGCUUUAUCUUCCCUAGUGUUUCCAUUUCAGCCAUGAAUUCGCGAUCUCCUUGACAGCUCAAUCUUAUCAGCUUUUUAAUAGCAACACUUGAUCCAUCCUUCAAUGUGGCCUUGAACACUUCACCAAACCCACCACAACCUAUAAGACUUUCCGCAGAGAAUCCAUUCGUAGCUUCAAUUAGUUGAGAGAAUUUUAGUUUCCUUAGUUGCCUUUGAAAAGUAGCUACAUUGAUGCUUAAAGGCUCUUUCUCUUUGUCAAUCUUCCAUGUUGUGGCUGCAUGAGACGCUUGCAGGCUAUUAAGCAUUUUCACUUCCUCUGCUUCCUUAUGCCUUACACGCAUUGCUACUGCCCAUACAAUCAGAAUACAUAGAGAAGCAACUGAAAUGAGAAUCCCUAAAACAAUACUAUUAGCCCAUGAUGCAGCUGAAGUUUUCCUGUCGGUUCUGCUACCAUCCACAGUUGGACUAGUUGUUGCUUGACCAUUUCCACCAUGACAUUCAGACAAUGGAACUCCACAUAAUCCAGGAUUAUGUGAAUAUUGUGUCGCUGGGAGUGUACUAAGUUGCCCUCUUUGUGGAAUUUCUCCUGUUAAUUCAUUAUAAGAAAGAUCAAUUUGAACCAAGAAAGACAGGUUUGAAAAUGAAUCAGGAAUUUGGCCUUGUAAUCUGUUAUGUGAUGCAUCAAACACACCCAAAUUCUUUAGCUGACCAAGUGAUGCGGGAAUUUCUCCUGCUAACUGAUUAUGAGAUAAUACAAGAACUUGUAAAGCCAUCAUAUCUCCCAUUUCAUCUGGAAUCUUCCCUCGAAGCUGAUUGUAAGAAAGAUCAAGGUACUCCAAAGUUUGAUAUUGUGUAAAAAGGCUAAGGACUGGUCCUGAAUACAAUCUUGUAAAAUCACAAGUCUUCAGUGUUGGUACCUGCAACAAUCUUUCAGGUCUAAUACCUGCAAAUUCCAAUAAACCUCCCACACCUUGACAGGAAUUCCCAACAUUUCUUACAAACACUAAAGUAUUUCCAGAUGGGAUUCCACCUAAUGCUUUUGCUCCAAGCUGACGGCCAAGUCGAGGUGGGAUUUCUCCUGUAAGUUUAUUGCUUCCAAGGUCCAGCCAAACCAAGCUGCUGCAAUUUCCAAGCUCUAUUGGUAUUUCUCCACUCAAGCUGUUAUUUGCAAGUUGCAAAACAGCUAAUCUUGACAAAAGGCCAAAUUCGCUUGGGAUUUUGCCUGAGAUUUGAUUGCUUGUAAGAGAUAUCCAUUCAAGAUUGCUGCAACUGAAUAACUCAACUGGAAUUUCACCAGUAAGGUGAUUAUUAUUCAGAAUUAGAUCUUUCAGGUUCCUGCAAUUCCCUAAUUCUGCUGGAAUUUUCCCUUCCAACCCAUUAAACCAGGCUAUGAGCUGCUCAAGAUUCUCAAGCUUACCAAGCUCAGGGGGGAUUGACCCAUUUAGAUAAUUUAUACUAAAAUCAAGAGUCUUUAGAUUCGAACAUUGUGAUAAUUGGGCAGGAAUUUCUCCAAUGAUUAAAUUAUCUGGCAUUCUUAGCUCCUCAAGAGAAGCUGCACCUGGACAUAUGUCAGGUGGGAUAACACCAGAAAAUUUAUUUGAACUGAGAUCCACAAUUCUUAAAUUUUUACAAUAUGAAAUGGAAGCAGGAAAGGAUCCAGAUAUCAGAUUGUAACUUAACAACAAUCUUUCCAAUGAACUGAGAUUUUGAAGGAUAGAAUCUGGAAAAAGACCUGAAAUAUUGUUGUUGGACAAAUCAAGAAGCUGUAGCCAAGAACAAGAAGAUAAAGAGCCAGGAAUGGAUCCUGAAAUGUUGUUAAAAGAAAGCUUAAGCUCAACAAGUGAACUACAAGCAUUUCCUAACUCAUUCGGAAUCCAACCUGUAAGAUGAUUAUGAGAAAGAUCCAGUAUUUGUAAAUUAGUAAGUUCACCAAAAGAUCUUGGAAUCUCCCCCGUAAGCAUAUUGAAAGAAAGAUUCAAAUUCUUGAGACUUGUGCAGUUUGAGAGAGAAGCAGGAAUUGAAUUUAUUAAAUGAUUUCCUGAUAGAUCAAGUUGCAACAAAGAGUUGCAAGAAUUUUCAAUUUUAAAAGGAAUUGAGCCUGUGAAGUUGUUAUAAGAAAGAUCAAGGGCUUGUAAUUUAUCGGAAUUGGUGAAAAGAUCAUCAGGUAAAGAACCUGUCAAAUUAUUAUGAGAAAGAUUUACAAAAACAAGAUUUGGAUUCUUGGAAAAUAAUUUCUCAGGAAUCCCACCUACAAGCACAGCAGAAGAUAAUUCAAGAUUUUGCAGUGCAGAUGGAAGAUUAAGCAAAGAAGUUGAAUUUACAAUAAAUGAAUUGAAAGAUAAUUUCAAAGAAGAUAACAUAUCAAGAGAAGCUAAAGGAUCAAAAGAUAUAAUCCCAGCAAGAUUUUUCUUAGUAAGAUCAAGCUGAGUCACUCUGCCAAGUGAGCAAGAAACUCCAUACCAGGCACAUGGGCUCCUAUUAUUAAGUUGCCAACCUGACAGAGCUCCAUUUGGGUCUUUCUCUAUCAUUUUCUUGAACAUAAGAAGUCCUGCAGCAUCUGUUUUAAUGGAGGCACCAACGCCUUGCUCCGCUAUGGAAACUGAAGCGAACGCUGCAAUAAAGAGUAGAAGAUGAUGGAAAAGCUGAAUUGGGUUGAUGAUCUCCAUUGAAGAAACAAGAUUCCAAGAACUCGAGAAUUGAGAUAGAGAAAUAGAAGCCAGAAAAGGUGCAGUGUAGAGAAUUGUACAGAGGAAAAGAGUGAGAGAGAAAGAGAGAAAGUGGUGAAUAUGAUGAGAAUUUGUUGUUGCAAAUAUUACUAAGAGAGAAGGAAAACUUUUGCAAAAGGAAUUUGCUCCUCUCUCUUUUUUAUUUUAUUUGUGUUCCAUAAAUUGAAAAGGGAGGGAACGUGGGGGAGGAAUAACAAAAGUGGGAUUUUUUAUUUCAUUUCUGGCCUUUUUUGUGAUUGAAAUUAGGAAAAUGAAUUGCCAUAAAUUUUUUCAAUUCUAAGUAUUUUAUCAGAUAAACAGCAUUAGUAUUUUUUUUUAAAAUUAUGUAUGAAAAACUAAUAAAUUUCAAUUUUUUUAUAUUUACAGAAUGCAAUGUGUACCUACAUCGAUUUUGCAAAUAAAAUUCAUUGAACUGCAUUGUUGCUUGCUUAAUAAACUUUAAGUUAACAAUAUGUAUUAUUCUACAAGAUACGAUAUUUAAAUUAUUUGUUUUUAGUACUAGAAAGUAGAAACUAUAUACAUAAGAGGGAAGGGAAUUUUUGUAAGAGGAUUGAUUUGAUUUUCAGUCAAAAAGCAAAAGGGACCCACAUACAAAGUCUAUCUUAAGAUUGGCUGCUUUUAGAGAUGGAGGGAAAAAAAAUAUUUGGACUGUGAUUGAUCCGAGAGUCACUGUCUGUCAGCGAAGCGUGAGAGAAUGUUUCCUUCGUACUUAGAAGAUGCGAAGGAAAUAGUGCAUGUAGCUGACCUUACAUUGCACAAUUCAGCUGCCCAUCUGCCCCAUUAUGAUUGCUUCUUCCAUAUAUACUAAUUUUUCUUUCUUUUCUUUCUUUCAAUUAAGAUGCUGCAGCUAAGCCUUUUUCUAAUAUAUAUAUAAAAUCUCAUUUCAAUAUUUUUUUUAUCAGCAAAAUUUAAUUUUAUUAAUAAAUAAUUUCAGAAAAACUUAAAAAACCUCAAGAAAUUAAAUCAAAAUCAUAUUUUUCGCCGAAACGCUCAAAACCUAGCCAAAGAAUGUUAAGUUAAAAAAACUAAAACACUCCUAACAAAAUACUUAUAGGAUAUAGACAGAACUAAAUAAUUAAGUCUACCAAAAAAAUUCAGUAUCGUGGUUGCAAGUUAACGGGAUAACAAAGUUAAGUGUUUUAAUAGGUUAUUUUUCCAUAUUAAAUUCUUAUUUUUCCUACCAUUUUCAAAUAAAUGUUUUAAUUUCCUUUUUAAAGCGUAAUUCAUUCUUCUUCGUAUAUAUUUCAGCGAUAAAUUAGAAUGCAAUAUCUUGACUUUUAUGUAAAUAAUUUAUCUUCUCACCCGUAGAUUGAAUAAUUUCAUUUUCAACCUUUUUCUCUUAUCAAAUUGUGGGCUCCAAUUUGAAUCAGUACCUAGUCCCUUUUCUUUUCUUUGAAUUCACAUUGGAUCGUAUAUUUUAAUUAAUUUGCAUUAAAUUUCACAAUUUUACAAUUCAAAAUCAUUUCUGAUAACAAGGAUCGAUUUAAAGCACUUAGAACGAUGGGAGAGGACCGGUAGAUAUCAAUUCUUUUUGGGACAUUACUAUAAAAUCUCAUAAAUUUAAUGGAAAUCACUACUUUGUUCUAACUAUUUAGAGUCUCUGACGUUUGCAUCCGCAUAAUUAUAACAACUUUUCAUUUAAAAAUAUCUUUUUUUUCAUUAAAAUACACGUAAUAUUUGACUAAUUAGUCAUUCACAUUAAUAUAAUGUUACCACAUAGUUCUUCAUAUUUGAUAUAAUGUCAUUAUUUAAUUCCUCGCUUAAUGGCAAAAAUGAUACUUUUUAGAGAGAAUGACUAAAUAAUUUUACGGACUCAAAAAUUACAUAGGAUUUAAUUAUUUAGUCAAAAACAUAAUUAAUAAACAAUUAGCAACAAAAAACAAAUUAUUUGGUAAUGAAUUGUCAAUCUCAUAAUAUAAAAAAUAAAAAAUUGAUAUUACAUAGCAAUUCGAUUCACGUAAAUUUGUUUCGAGAUAAUUAAGCUUAGAUUUCAUAAAUUAAGGGCAACAACUUGUAAAAUAAAACUUGCAGCUUAUAUCCUAACACUAGAUAAUUGACUCCCAUUUUCAAAAUUUGCUUUCUGAAGUUUAAUUAGUGAAGUGAUUAAUUAAGAAAGAGAGAUAAUUAAUUGUAAUGUGGGACCCACACACCAAAACAUGGAAGAAGGGAAUCAAUGAAAGUUCAAACCAAAAGAGGUGCAUCUGUCUAUGAAUUGUAAUAUUACCCACUAAAAAAUAAAAUACAAUUGAGGAGAAUAAUUAAUUUAUCAUUUAAAAAAAAAAAAAAAAAAAAAAAAAGAGUGACUGAGGCCCACAAAAGGAACAACAUCAAUUAGGAAUUGUGGGUAAAUGGUAUAUUUUGGCAUGAGAGGUGAUGAUGCCUCCUCCACUUGGUUCUUGUUUUUUAAUUUGCUUUUCUUGAUAACCAAGCACAAGCUAUAUCUAUAUAGAGCAUUGUGCUACCCUUUUAUAAUAAUAAUAAUGUAUUGAUUAUUUUAAAAUAGGAGUGUAAAGUAUUUAUUUUUUAUGUUUUAUAUUCAAUUUAUUAUUAUUCACUUUUUAGUAUUUUCAUUUACUAGUUAUAUUUUCACAUUCAAUGAUUAUAUUGAGAGAUAUCCAAAUAUAAACCUAAGAAAGUAUUUUUCUUUUAUGGGUUCAUUGAUUCACUGUUCAUCCCCCAUGACAAAAUCUUUACCAAUGUUAAAGUUGAACUUUGUAGCUGGUUUUGGGACCAUACCCUUUUGCUAUAUAUGUAAUAUUUAUUAGUUCUUGAGGUAUCACAUGCAGAAAAGCUUGACAAUGGAUUUAAUAUCUUGAAUUUCCAUGUCAAUGAUCAACAUUUCUCAUCAUCUAUCUCAUAUGUAUGUGUAUAGUUGGGCCUUUUAUGCAAGUCUUCAAGGUUAAUAUAAAAAAAAAACCUAGUGGUUCAUGUCUUGUCUCAUGGGGCUUCUUUCGAGUUCAUAUUUUGAAUUAUUUAAAUAAUUAUACAUGAUAAAUACAGAAAUAUAUUCAAUGUAGGAAAAAAAAUUAAUUAGGUGGUGUUUAUAAUAUUAUUAAGUACUUAAAAAUAUUUAAAUUUUAUGUAUCUAAUUUUCAGUUCUACCAUACCAAACACCAAUCUAUUAAAGCCUUUUAAAAGUUACAAAUCAUUGGAAAGUAUAAUCAUAAAAGAUGAAUGAGUAUAUCUGAAAAAUAUAGUAAAACUUUAUUCAGAUUAAUUAAUCUGGAAUAAUAAAUUAAUUAAUAGUCAAAAUAUAACAAUAUUAACAAAUAAUAAUUUUUCUUUUCAUACAAACUGCAUGAAUCAUAUAAAUUAUUACUCAAAUAAAAUUAAUAAUGAAACAUUAGUUUCUCUGAAUCCUAGAAAUGAAAAUAAAACAUUAAACCUCGAGAUUAACAAACAAGAUUAUGAAGUUUAAAUAAGGUUUUUAUCAAUCAAUCAUAGGUCAUUAGAUUAUCAAAGACAUCACUCUUAAUUUUAGGGUAGUGGGAGACAUUAAUUUUCUCUCAAUGCACAACAUUCCACAUAAACAUAAACAUGAUAAAUCAAUUAAUUAAAAAGCCAAAAGUAAAAAAAGAAAUCAAUCAAAAAAUUUUCUUCAACUCCUACUUUUUUUCUUUGCACCACAGCGAGGGUAUCAAAAUGUAGAGAUAGAGACCCUUCUUUAUUAUCAUCAUUUAGGAUUGCAUUUUGACCGUUAAGAAAAAGGUAUUUAAAUUUUGUUAUUAUUAGUGCUCAUUUUUCAUAAUUAUGAUCAUGGGACCCAUAAGAGAAGGCACAGUAUGCCUUUGUGAAAGGAUAACUCUUCAAAAUAUUGUCACAAAUGUAAAUUAAACUGGAUGGAAUUUAUGUUAUUAGAAAUUAAUUAACCAUUUUAAUUACUUUGCUUAAGUGCUUUUAACAAAUGCACACGCAUGCAUGGGGUCAAUUUAAAUUAAGUUGGACCGUCUAAUCUUUAGUCAUACUUUUUUUGAGAGAAUGAAUUUAAUUAGCUAAGACAUUAAUUAAUUAUUAUAUAUAAAUAUAUGUACACACCAAAAGUGCAGUUUGUCAAUUUUAGCUAAUUAAUAAAGAUUUAUUAAAAAACUAACAAUGGAUGGUAAGCAGACUUAAUCAUAUAAGAAUGAAUGUAUAAAUUUGAUUUUUGAAAAAAACAUUAUUAUUAAUAAGAUUAGAAAUAUUUACAAUAUGCGGUUCGAAGGGAAUUAAAAUCUCUUAAUUUUUAAAAAAGGAAAAUUAUUGAAAAAAAAAAUCUUCAAAGAAAAAAAAAGCAUGCUGAUGGUCCAACGAAGAUCCUCUUAUUGAUAUAGUCAAAAAAGCUCCAUUACAAAUCGUACAUGAUAGGCUAUGUAAGCAUGCUUUAGAAGGCAUCAAAACUCAAUAUAGCCUAUAUGCUAUGAUAUUAUUGCAUAAUUUUCCUUUUUAAACAGUAUUAUUAUUUCCAUAAAUUUGGAUUAUUUGCUAAAAUUUGGGCGUGACUUUUUAUGCAAAACCAAGAAAUUAUUCAAAAAAAAAAAAAAAAAGAAAAGGAGUGAAUAGAAGAGAAGAGGCAGAGAAAGAAAGAAAGAAAGAAAAGAGACCGAAUUGUCGUCCAUUGCACGCCAAUUGGGGCCAUCUACAUAUGUAUACUAUUCCAAAUGAUUGGUAAUGACCUCAGAACACGCAUUGUCUUUUGUCUCUCUCUCUCUCUCUCUCUCUCUCUCAAUUUAUGUAUAAUAAAAAUUAAUUUUGUAUUUAUUUUUCUAAAAUCAAAAUUCAUUUCAGAGCAUAAAAUGUCAUUUCAACGUGUUUCUGUUUGUGUUUGUGGGUUUUUACUUGUGGCUUUUCUUGUACAAUAAUUAAUUUCAGAUUUUAAUUAAUUAAUUAAUUAUGUCUUAUGUGGACCUUUAUUAGUUUACUUUAAUUAGUCUUUUAAUGUGUUGUGGCUCCACAUCAUGAUUCCAGUAUGAUUCGAUUGGAUUGGAUUUAGCUUAAAUAUAAAUUAAAGAUUGAACAUUGUGAUUUUCUUUUUCCCCAAAAGUUGACCCAGUAAAGGGCACAAUUAUUCUCAUUCAGCUUGAAAGAAGAAAGUCACUAUUUAUAGUUUUAGGCCUUUUUUGUUUUUUUUUUGCUAAGCCCAGAAAUUUUUAUCUUAAAAGGUUUGACUGUACACUGUACAGCUAUGGAAGUGGGAAGAGGAGGUGGUGAAGUGAAACCCUCAUGAUGGCCUUUUCACACGCUUGACCCACUCCUCAAAAUAAAGUUAGAGAAAAUAAUUAUUAGUUUUUGCUUUAAUGGAUUAAUGCUUAUAUUUUAAUUAUCAAUCUUAAUUGGCAAAAAAAGUUAAAAAAAAAAAAAGAAGAAUUUUUCUUUUUUAUUUUAUCAUUUUUUUUCCCAUUUGUUUGCAUUAUUUUUGUGAUAUGUAUUUCAUUUUGCAAAUAAACUUUUUAUAAAAUUGAUAUACAAAUAAAUUUGUAUAUGUACUUAGUAUCCUAACUAUUAAGUAUAAAACUCAAUUAAUGUAAAAUAAUCAUGUCAAAAUUUGUAUCCUUACUAAUUUAAAAUUCAUUUACAAAUUAUAUAAAUUUGACUUAAAUAUAAUUAACCGAUAAAAUAUAAUGGAAUUCAUUUAACUCUUAAAAUAAUUUUUUUUUUAAAAAUAUCUUUAAAAAAACUGAAUAUCUUCGUGUCAAAGCUCCUGAGGAGAUUGACACGCUUUCGAAUUCAUGUAUAGUUGGCAAUUAGACUGUGUUUGAAGAGUAAUCUUUUGCUGCUUUUAUUUCCAAUUCUCUGUUUAUUUUUGCGUUUGUCAUUGUUGGGCUUCAUACGUUGGAUAUGGUCUAGUUAAAGGACCUUACUGGGCCAGAUCUUGGUUUCAAGCCCAAGGUUGAUCACUGAUGAUAAGUUAUAAAGUUAGAAUUAUGAGCACAAAAAUUGGUAAAUAGAUUUACCCUUUUUGGAGUGAGGAGUUUUUAUUAGAUUGUGUACGAGAUUUUAGAAAUUUCGGCCCAUUCUCAAAAAAUAUUCUGAAUUUCUUAUUUGAAAAAACCUCGAUAUUAAUUUAAUUAUGAAUUUUGAAAGCAAUUUCAGAAUAGAAAUAAUUUAGUAUUAACACAAAGUUCCUUCUCAUCUUAUUUCGUCUUAAAAAUCAGGAAUAGAGAAAAAAUUAUGAAAUAGAGAAACUAAUUUUUUUUUCUUAAAUUAAUGUGAGAAAGGGAUUAUUAACUAUUAAGAUGACCAUCAAAUUUUAAUUUAUAUCUCAAAGGAAUUAUUGUUAAUUUCUAGGUGUUAGGCAAAUUUAUUGCCCAUGUAUAGAACUUAAACAUAUACUUUCUACACUUGACCUGUUAUAACUUGAUCUUUCAACUCAAUCUAAUUUACGAUUUGAAGAUAUAAUAAGUUAAAUUAGGUAAAUUGUCUCGAUUUGAAUCACGGGUUUAUUAAGUAAAUAUAUAUAUUUUAUAGAACUCCACAAAUAAUAAUAAAAUAGUAUUUCUAUAUCAACUAUAUAUAUAUAUAUAUAAUAUAGUGAUGAAUCAAAACUUAUUAUAUUAAUUUUACUUGUAGCACAUUUAUCGAGAAGCUAACUCCUGUGCUGAUUGGUUAGUUUCUAAUAGCGAAACGGUUUCCUUAGGCACUUAUAUCUUGCUCCAUGUUUCCCCUGGUUUGGAUGAAUGGAUACUUAUAUCAGUUGGCCAAAAAGAAAGAGAAUGACAACAGAAUUUGUUUUUUUUAUCUUUGAAUUACGUCAAUAUCCUAAUUAUUAAGCAUAAAACUCAAUUAAAAACUCUAAUGUAAAACUCAUUUACAAGAUAUAUAUAUUUGGUUUCAAUAUAAUUAACAAACCACAAUACUGAAAUAAACUUUCAAAUAAUAUUUUUGGUACAUAAAAGGAGCAAAAAGCUCUAGAGAAACUAAAUAAAACGACAAUAAAAAAUACCUGCAGCUAAAUCAUAACCUAACCAAAUAACUAAAGAUAGACAAAAGAUGGCAACCAAUAGGAAGAGAAGACAUAAAAUGAUUUUAUUUUUAAACAUGAACAAAAGACGUAAUAUAGCAGAGUAGCCAAUUAUUAAUGCUCUUUAAGAAAGCUUAAUAUCUUCGUCCCAAAACUCCUCAAGAGAUUUGUAAGGACCUUCAUUAGAGAUAAAUUCAAGACCAGGAUAUCCUUUGCGCUGUGGAAGUGUAUCGAUCAUUUGUAAUUCCUCUUGGCUUAAUUUCCAGUCAAAAAUAUCAAGAUUUUCUUUCAUUCUCUCCUUGUUGAAGCUCUUCACUAUUACACUUACCCCUUGCUCAUAUACCCAUCUCAGACACACCUUCAAAUUCAUAUAUAAGUAGAAAAUACCUUUAAAAUACAAUAAAAAAAAUUGAAAGGAGUAGAGAGAGGUUUGAAGUUGAUCUACCUGAGCAACAGUUUUUCCUUUUGCCUGAGCAAUCUCUUUUAGCAACUUACAGUCCAUGACUAGGUUUGUACCCCAGGGGGUUCCUCUGGCUCCCAAAGGAGAGUAUGCACUUACAUGUAUACUCUUUUUCUCACAGAAAUCUCUAAGCUUCUUUUGCUGCCAAAGUGGGCUCAUCUCCACCUUCAUCGCCAACAUAAGCCAAAAUAUUUCAGUUUACCAGUAAAUUUGAACUUAAUAUGGCUAAUUAACGACUCACUUGAUUUACGGCAGGAGGGAUCUUUGCUGUGCGCAACAGAAUCUCAAGUUUCUUGCAUGAAAAAUUGCUCACUCCAAUAGAUUUUGCCAAGCCGAGCUUUUGACAAUCUUCCAUAGCUUCCCAUACAGACUUGAUAUCUAUUGGAAGAAGAUCUUUUUUCUUCACCGGCAGCUCAUAUUCACCUGGCUUCAAACUCACUGGAAAGUGUAUCAAGUACAAAUCAAUGUACUUCAAUUUAAGAUUCCUGCACAAAUUUAAACAAGUAUAUAUAUGUAAAUAUUUGUAUCUAAUACUAAUUAACAAAUUUCCAUGCAUUUUUAAUUUUGUAAACAAAAAUUAAAAGAGUUAGCUAAUUAGAAACUUAAACAACAAAAUUUAUAAACAUGUGAAGGCUUUUUUUUUAUUAUAUUGAAACACUAUUACAGAAGUAUUUAUAGACUCUAAAAACAGAAAACUUCAGAAAAAUAAGCAAACUUAUUAUGCAUAUCUGAUAUGAUAAGCAUAUUAAAUUAUUCCUUAAAAAUAGCAACAGAAUAACAAAUAAUUAUCUAAUCUUCCAACGGCCUUCACCAUAGCUACUAAGUCAACAUUCAACAACCUAAGAGUAUUUUCUAGAGCAGGAAGGACACGAUGAUAAUGAGCAUCACUGCACCAAAGCUUGGAAGUGAUAAAGAAUUCGUCUCGGGAUUUUACAAUUCCAAGCUGUAGAGAUUCUGAUAUUGCUUCACCUAAAGGUUGUUCAGAUCGGUAAAGAGAAGCAGAAUCAAAGUGUCUAUAACCUAAUUUUAUUGCAUGGAGAAUCGAGUCUUUCAUGGUUUCAAUGGAAGCAGAGAAAGGAUAUUCAGCUGUUCCUAAACCUACAAGAGGGAUUGGAUAAUUACUUGAUAAUGUUUUCUCUGGAAUUUUAAUACUCUCCAUUUUUUCUUUAGUUUAGCAUCAUCUCCAAGUGUUCCUACAUAUAACAACUCAAUAAUAUCUUCCAAGGGAAGGACUUACGUCAACAAUAGAUAUGCCCACGACAUGUCAUGGAGAGCCAUACUUUUGCUGAGCGUUACUCAAAUGAAAGCCCAUACAAGUUCCCUCUUUGAGCUCCGGGAUGGAGAAUUUUAAUACUGAUGAUUUUAGAACAAUAAAAUAAUUUGAAGCGUAAAAUUCAUUUAUAAACGAUGUGGUCUUCCUCGCUUCUGCGGAUAUUUUUAUAUUUUUAUUUGAGUUGUAAUAUAUAUAUAUAUAUAUAUAUAUAAAGAGAAAGAGAAUGAGGAGAAAAAAGAAAGAGAAAAAUAAAAGAGUUUCAUGCAUCUCAUCUUUAAAUCAUGUGAAAUUUAUUUUAUUUGUUGCAAAUAAACAUUUAAUAAAAUUGAUUUACAAAUGAAUUUGUAUAUUUAGUAUCCUAAAUAUUAAACUUAAACUUAUUUAAGAAGUUAAUUAAUUUACAGUUGUAUCAAAUUUGUAUUCUUACUAAUUUAAAAUUCAUUUAUAAAUUAUUCAAAUUUCAUAUAAAUAUAAUUAACCUAUCAUAAAUAAUGAGAAAAUUUGAAAUAAAAUUUCAUUCAUGACUUCCAAACAUAUUCAGUAAAAUAAAAUGAAAUUCAUUCAUACAUAACCCUCAACAGUAAUAAAUAUUAAAACAUAAACAGGAGAUAUAAAUAAAUUUAAGAAAAUUGAAUAUCUUCAUCCCAAAGCUCCUCAAAAGAUUUGUAUGGACCUUCAUCGGAAAUGAAUUCAAUACCAGGAAAUCCUUUACGUUGUGGAAGUGCAUCGAUCAUCUCUAAUUCUUCUUGGCUUAAUUGCCAGUCAAAAAUGUCAAGGUUUUCUUUCAUUCUCUCCUUGUUGAAGCUCUUCACUAAUACAACUACCCCUUGCUCAUAUGCCCAUCUUAGACACACCUUCAAAUUCAUAAAAAGUAGACAAAAACUUUGUUACAUUAUGUUUCUAAUUAGGGGUGUGAAAAUGGACGGUCUGAUUCAAAAUCGAAAUUAGUUUCUUUUUUGUUAAUCGAAUCGCAUCGAAAUAAGUUCGAAAAUCAAAUUGAACUUAUUGGUUGAAAUCAAUUUAGUCAUAUUGUUUGAUUUUACUCAAAAAUGACUGUUUUAUAAUAAUCGGUGUAAAGACCGAAUUUUUUGUAAUAUAACAAAUUAAAAAUUGAAAUCAAAAAACCAAAAAUAAUUCUGUUUUUUUUUUCCUCCAAAGUUUGCUCACCGAAUUUUCAAUUCUCUUGUUGUUUUUGCAUUUGUCAUUGUUGGCCUUUAUACAUUGAAUAUGGUCAAGUUGAAAGGACCUUAUUAUGCCAUAUAUUGCGUUUCAAGCCCAAGUUGAUCACUGAUCAGUGAUGAAGUUUACAAUUAUGAGCAUAAAAUUAACUGUAAAAUAUAACCCAUCCUUAAGUAUAUUCAAAUUAACACUUAAAUCUCUUUAUUUUUGAAAAAUAAUUAUAACAUUUCUAAUUUAUAUAUUCGUCUUAUAAUUGGGUCCUUCAAUCUAAAAAGUGAACUCUAUACAGUUAAUUAGACACACUUUUUAGUCGGAUUAUGGGUAGUCUUUACAUGGAAAUAGUUCACUUUUUGAAUGGAAGAAUCUGGCUAUGAGAUAAAUCAUAAAUCAAAAACAUCAUAAUUAUUUCUCAAAUAUAAAGGGACUUAAAUGUUAGUUUAAAUAUAAUUUAGAAACCUAAUUAUAUUUUAUCCCAAAAUUAAUAUACCUGGGCAAGAGUUUUUCCUUUUGCCUUCGCAAUCUCUUGUAGCAACUCACAGUCCAUGACUAAGUUUGUACCCCAUAAGGUUCCUUUGGCUCCCAAAGGAGAGUAUACGCUUACUGGUAUACCCUUUUUCUCGCAGAAAUCUCUGAGCUUCUUUUGCUGCCAAAGUGGAUUCAUCUCCACCUUCAUCAUCACCAAAAAACCCAUUUAGUAUCAUCAUUUUUAUUGUCAAAUAAAGAAUAAAAAUCUUUUUUUUUUCAACUACUGGUAUCCGAACUCUAUUAUUAGGGAUCGCCUAAUCUGGUUCGAGGUUUAGUUACAGUCAAGGCUUCUCGCCCCUCUCUGCAGGUGCAAUUAGUAGGAAUCGAACUUGAGAGCUCUUCCCACAUGUCCAGCCAACAGAACCACAAUCCGUAGGUAAAACACAAAUCAUUUUAGAUUGCCAAUAAACUUUAACUUAAUAGAUUGUAUCUUACGAUCUCUCCGUUCACAAAUAAGUGUCAUAUUUGCGAAAAUAUUGUGUCUACAAAUAAACAUCACAUCUGUGGAUUUAGAAAUACUAAAUUUUAUUCCGUGUUUAUCUUUUACAAAUUACGAAUAUUAAUUAUUAUAAUUUCCAAAAAUCUUUCUCUCUUUAUUGUAAAUAAGGGUAAUAUAACUUUUUUAUGAGAUGAGAAAAGUGGAAAUGUAACAGUUAUUUAUAAACGGAGGGAGUACAAGAUGACUUCCAGCAACAAAGAAGGAUUUAAGAUCAAAAUUUUAACAAAAACUGUAAAAAGAUUUAUAUUUUACAAUAAAGGCAUAAAACUCUCUCAUUAAACCAACAAAUUUUUGAUUAUCAAUUAAAAAAAUUAUCAAAGUAUUUUUUACAGCAUUUAUUGGGAAGAGAUGGAUGGACUUAUCCACUGUCUAAGUUUAUGUAAAAGGUGACACGGAUCUACCACAUGAGUUGUAAAUGAUCAUAUACACCCUAUUUUGUUACAUUAAUUGUAAAUGACUAUAUAUAUCCUACCUACAUUAUAAUUAUCAUUUUAUUAUUAUACUCACUAAGUCCUACAAAUAUAAAAUCCCAAUUUUUUUCACACACUUUAAAAAUCAUUACUUAAAUUACUUUAAUUAAUUAUAAUUUCAGAAUUAAUUCUUUUAAUUAUAUUAUUAUACACACGGACUAUUAUAUAAGAGUAUUUCGAAAAUAUAAAAGUGACUAUUAUUUUGAAAUAUCCAUAAAAGAAUAGUAAAUAUAACUUGAGACGGAUGAAGUAAUUAUUUUAUUUAUUGAUAUAGCUAAUUAUUACUAUUGGGUAGUCCAUAUCAGGUGAUGAACUAAAUUACUUUCAAAGAGUUGAGAAAGUCAAGUGACUCUUUACUUAUGUUAGAAUGUAACCGUAAAUUUUAAAUAUUAGAAUGAUGUCCGAAAACUCUCGCAAAUUAAGUUGAAAAAAAAAUAAUAAAAUUAGCUAAUUGACGAACUCACCUGAUUAACAGCAGGAGGAAUCUUUGCUGUGCCCAACAGAAUCUCAAGUUUCUUGCAAGAAAAAUUGCUUACUCCAAUGGAUUUUGCCAAGCCAAGCUUUUGACACUCUUCCAUAGCUUCCCAUACAGACUUAAAAUCCAUUGGAAGAAGAUCCUUUUUCUUCACUGGUAGCUCAUAUUCACCUGGCUUCAAGCUCACUGGCCAGUGUAUCAAGUACAAAUCAAUGUACUCCAAUUUAAGGUUCCUGCAUAAGUUUAAUAAAUAUUAAAUACUACUUAUCGGAUUUCAAAUUUACAAGGUAUAAUAAUAUAUUAAUGACCAAAAAAGAAUUAAAAUUUAUAUUAUGUAGUAUUUACCUGAGAGUAUUUUGUAGAGCAGGCAGAACACGAUUAUAAUGAGCAUCACAGCACCAAAGCUUAGAAGUGAGUAUUUUCUAGAGCAGGAAGGACACGAUGAUAAUGAGCAUCACUGCACCAAAGCUUGGAAGUGAUAAAGAAUUCGUCUCGGGAUUUUACAAUUCCAAGCUGUAGAGAUUCUGAUAUUGCUUCACCUAAAGGUUGUUCAGAUCGGUAAAGAGAAGCAGAAUCAAAGUGUCUAUAACCUAAUUUUAUUGCAUGGAGAAUCGAGUCUUUCAUGGUUUCAAUGGAAGCAGAGAAAGGAUAUUCAGCUGUUCCUAAACCUACAAGAGGGAUUGGAUAAUUACUUGAUAAUGUUUUCUCUGGAAUUUUAAUACUCUCCAUUUUUUCUUUAGUUUAGCAUCAUCUCCAAGUGUUCCUACAUAUAACAACUCAAUAAUAUCUUCCAAGGGAAGGACUUACGUCAACAAUAGAUAUGCCCACGACAUGUCAUGGAGAGCCAUACUUUUGCUGAGCGUUACUCAAAUGAAAGCCCAUACAAGUUCCCUCUUUGAGCUCCGGGAUGGAGAAUUUUAAUACUGAUGAUUUUAGAACAAUAAAAUAAUUUGAAGCGUAAAAUUCAUUUAUAAACGAUGUGGUCUUCCUCGCUUCUGCGGAUAUUUUUAUAUUUUUAUUUGAGUUGUAAUAUAUAUAUAUAUAUAUAUAUAUAAAGAGAAAGAGAAUGAGGAGAAAAAAGAAAGAGAAAAAUAAAAGAGUUUCAUGCAUCUCAUCUUUAAAUCAUGUGAAAUUUAUUUUAUUUGUUGCAAAUAAACAUUUAAUAAAAUUGAUUUACAAAUGAAUUUGUAUAUUUAGUAUCCUAAAUAUUAAACUUAAACUUAUUUAAGAAGUUAAUUAAUUUACAGUUGUAUCAAAUUUGUAUUCUUACUAAUUUAAAAUUCAUUUAUAAAUUAUUCAAAUUUCAUAUAAAUAUAAUUAACCUAUCAUAAAUAAUGAGAAAAUUUGAAAUAAAAUUUCAUUCAUGACUUCCAAACAUAUUCAGUAAAAUAAAAUGAAAUUCAUUCAUACAUAACCCUCAACAGUAAUAAAUAUUAAAACAUAAACAGGAGAUAUAAAUAAAUUUAAGAAAAUUGAAUAUCUUCAUCCCAAAGCUCCUCAAAAGAUUUGUAUGGACCUUCAUCGGAAAUGAAUUCAAUACCAGGAAAUCCUUUACGUUGUGGAAGUGCAUCGAUCAUCUCUAAUUCUUCUUGGCUUAAUUGCCAGUCAAAAAUGUCAAGGUUUUCUUUCAUUCUCUCCUUGUUGAAGCUCUUCACUAAUACAACUACCCCUUGCUCAUAUGCCCAUCUUAGACACACCUUCAAAUUCAUAAAAAGUAGACAAAAACUUUGUUACAUUAUGUUUCUAAUUAGGGGUGUGAAAAUGGACGGUCUGAUUCAAAAUCGAAAUUAGUUUCUUUUUUGUUAAUCGAAUCGCAUCGAAAUAAGUUCGAAAAUCAAAUUGAACUUAUUGGUUGAAAUCAAUUUAGUCAUAUUGUUUGAUUUUACUCAAAAAUGACUGUUUUAUAAUAAUCGGUGUAAAGACCGAAUUUUUUGUAAUAUAACAAAUUAAAAAUUGAAAUCAAAAAACCAAAAAUAAUUCUGUUUUUUUUUUCCUCCAAAGUUUGCUCACCGAAUUUUCAAUUCUCUUGUUGUUUUUGCAUUUGUCAUUGUUGGCCUUUAUACAUUGAAUAUGGUCAAGUUGAAAGGACCUUAUUAUGCCAUAUAUUGCGUUUCAAGCCCAAGUUGAUCACUGAUCAGUGAUGAAGUUUACAAUUAUGAGCAUAAAAUUAACUGUAAAAUAUAACCCAUCCUUAAGUAUAUUCAAAUUAACACUUAAAUCUCUUUAUUUUUGAAAAAUAAUUAUAACAUUUCUAAUUUAUAUAUUCGUCUUAUAAUUGGGUCCUUCAAUCUAAAAAGUGAACUCUAUACAGUUAAUUAGACACACUUUUUAGUCGGAUUAUGGGUAGUCUUUACAUGGAAAUAGUUCACUUUUUGAAUGGAAGAAUCUGGCUAUGAGAUAAAUCAUAAAUCAAAAACAUCAUAAUUAUUUCUCAAAUAUAAAGGGACUUAAAUGUUAGUUUAAAUAUAAUUUAGAAACCUAAUUAUAUUUUAUCCCAAAAUUAAUAUACCUGGGCAAGAGUUUUUCCUUUUGCCUUCGCAAUCUCUUGUAGCAACUCACAGUCCAUGACUAAGUUUGUACCCCAUAAGGUUCCUUUGGCUCCCAAAGGAGAGUAUACGCUUACUGGUAUACCCUUUUUCUCGCAGAAAUCUCUGAGCUUCUUUUGCUGCCAAAGUGGAUUCAUCUCCACCUUCAUCAUCACCAAAAAACCCAUUUAGUAUCAUCAUUUUUAUUGUCAAAUAAAGAAUAAAAAUCUUUUUUUUUUCAACUACUGGUAUCCGAACUCUAUUAUUAGGGAUCGCCUAAUCUGGUUCGAGGUUUAGUUACAGUCAAGGCUUCUCGCCCCUCUCUGCAGGUGCAAUUAGUAGGAAUCGAACUUGAGAGCUCUUCCCACAUGUCCAGCCAACAGAACCACAAUCCGUAGGUAAAACACAAAUCAUUUUAGAUUGCCAAUAAACUUUAACUUAAUAGAUUGUAUCUUACGAUCUCUCCGUUCACAAAUAAGUGUCAUAUUUGCGAAAAUAUUGUGUCUACAAAUAAACAUCACAUCUGUGGAUUUAGAAAUACUAAAUUUUAUUCCGUGUUUAUCUUUUACAAAUUACGAAUAUUAAUUAUUAUAAUUUCCAAAAAUCUUUCUCUCUUUAUUGUAAAUAAGGGUAAUAUAACUUUUUUAUGAGAUGAGAAAAGUGGAAAUGUAACAGUUAUUUAUAAACGGAGGGAGUACAAGAUGACUUCCAGCAACAAAGAAGGAUUUAAGAUCAAAAUUUUAACAAAAACUGUAAAAAGAUUUAUAUUUUACAAUAAAGGCAUAAAACUCUCUCAUUAAACCAACAAAUUUUUGAUUAUCAAUUAAAAAAAUUAUCAAAGUAUUUUUUACAGCAUUUAUUGGGAAGAGAUGGAUGGACUUAUCCACUGUCUAAGUUUAUGUAAAAGGUGACACGGAUCUACCACAUGAGUUGUAAAUGAUCAUAUACACCCUAUUUUGUUACAUUAAUUGUAAAUGACUAUAUAUAUCCUACCUACAUUAUAAUUAUCAUUUUAUUAUUAUACUCACUAAGUCCUACAAAUAUAAAAUCCCAAUUUUUUUCACACACUUUAAAAAUCAUUACUUAAAUUACUUUAAUUAAUUAUAAUUUCAGAAUUAAUUCUUUUAAUUAUAUUAUUAUACACACGGACUAUUAUAUAAGAGUAUUUCGAAAAUAUAAAAGUGACUAUUAUUUUGAAAUAUCCAUAAAAGAAUAGUAAAUAUAACUUGAGACGGAUGAAGUAAUUAUUUUAUUUAUUGAUAUAGCUAAUUAUUACUAUUGGGUAGUCCAUAUCAGGUGAUGAACUAAAUUACUUUCAAAGAGUUGAGAAAGUCAAGUGACUCUUUACUUAUGUUAGAAUGUAACCGUAAAUUUUAAAUAUUAGAAUGAUGUCCGAAAACUCUCGCAAAUUAAGUUGAAAAAAAAAUAAUAAAAUUAGCUAAUUGACGAACUCACCUGAUUAACAGCAGGAGGAAUCUUUGCUGUGCCCAACAGAAUCUCAAGUUUCUUGCAAGAAAAAUUGCUUACUCCAAUGGAUUUUGCCAAGCCAAGCUUUUGACACUCUUCCAUAGCUUCCCAUACAGACUUAAAAUCCAUUGGAAGAAGAUCCUUUUUCUUCACUGGUAGCUCAUAUUCACCUGGCUUCAAGCUCACUGGCCAGUGUAUCAAGUACAAAUCAAUGUACUCCAAUUUAAGGUUCCUGCAUAAGUUUAAUAAAUAUUAAAUACUACUUAUCGGAUUUCAAAUUUACAAGGUAUAAUAAUAUAUUAAUGACCAAAAAAGAAUUAAAAUUUAUAUUAUGUAGUAUUUACCUGAGAGUAUUUUGUAGAGCAGGCAGAACACGAUUAUAAUGAGCAUCACAGCACCAAAGCUUAGAAGUGAUAAAGAACUCGUCUCGAGAUUUUACAAUUCCAAGCUGUAGAGAUUCUGAUAUUGCUUCACCUAAAGGUUGCUCAGUUUGGUAAAGAGCAGCAGAAUCGAAGUGUCUAUAACCUAAUUUUAUUGCAUGGAGAAUUGAGUCUUUCAUGGUUUCAGUGGAAGCACCAAAAGGGUAUUCAGCUGUUCCAAAACCUACAAGAGGAAUUGGAUUAUUACUCGACAGUAUUUUCUCUGGAAUUUUAAUGCUCUGCAUUCUUUCUUUACUGUAAUUAUCCCCAAGUGUUGUUAUAUUUUUUUCUUGACUCUCAACACAGGCAGACUCUGUCUUUCCUUUGCCCUACGUACUCUGCCUUUGUGGAAGAUUUCUGGCACUACUUAUAUCCUGUACGUUCUGUGACUAAUAUCAAAAGUUAUAUAUAUUUAUUAUUUCUGCUCCCAAUAAUGGUCAAACUUUGCGUUCCCAUCACUCUUAUUGUAAUAUAAUUAAUCAUCACCUAAGAUCCCACUAGAUUUGCUGUUGUAUUUUAAAUGGUCCCUCGAGUUUUGAAGCCGCCCACAGAAACAAUUGGCCAUUUUCCGAAGAUGGUGUUUGAAAUUAAAAUAAUGGCGUCCGAAAAAAAUAUCUGCGUUUUGUUGACAUUUCAACGAGUAUUCAAUUUACUCAAAAAUCAACUGUAUAGCCAAAUCACUCCAAAACUUGGCAAAAAACGCUCCCAAUUUACUCAUUUGUUAGGAUUGAGAUAUGCGCGUGUUGGCGUGCCGUGAACCAAAAUCUAAAAGAAUAAAAACGAAAACAUAUAACAGUAACAAAAACAUAUACAAUCUUCAAUAAACAAGCCUUACCUGGAAAUUCAAUUUGAAUUCAUGCAUUUCAUCUGCAGAUUUUUUACACAUAAAUGGCAGGUUAGCACCUAAAUAAGACAUGGUAAAACGAAAAAAAAGACCUUGUACUGCUAUGCUGUUAGACACCAUCCUAUAAAAAAAUUAUUGUGGUCAAGUAAAUGUUAAGUAUUGUCCACUAUAAUUUUUUUUGCAAAAAUUAUACCAGUUCUGUAUCAAAAGGCACAAACCCUGUUGAAAUGUUUGUCACUAAAAGAUUUAUUUCAUAAUUUCUGUUACUGUAACUUAGCAGAUGAACCAUAUUUUUCACCUGGACCUUUUCGAGAUGCUCCAAUUUCACCUUAGAACGACUUUUUAUUAUUGGACACUCUAAAUUGCACAUUUUGUUUUAAUUUUGCACAAAUUUCAUUAAUUGUGAAAUCCGACUCUACCACAUGGAUUAAUUUAAUCCACCAUAAUAAAUUAAAAUAAUCAAAACACAUUUUUUUUUAUCAAAUCCUAAAAUAAUUGACAUUCUCGCAUAUUCUUUGUUGAAUGUAAUUCAAAGAUUAUUGGACAAAAAAAUGACUAUGCAGGAAUAUUUGUCCUCGUAAAAGACAAAGCAACACGAAAGUUGAUAGCUUGUGUUUGUAGAAUUCUUUUCGGAGUUUUUUAGAGAAAGAGAACAAAGUGGAGAGUAGAAUUAAUGAGUAGAGAGUCCUUUCUACGUCUCUUAGUGUCUUUAUAUAAGCUAUCAUUUUCUAACAAUUUUAGAUUUAGAGGAGAUACUGGAGAAAAUCUCACGGCCAUCACUUAUUCAUUAUAUUUAUUCGAAGGAGAUUGUGUCAGAUAAAUAGAAGAUAUUAAUGAAAAUUUUGAGAUAUUUUAGGAUUUUUAGAUAUUUAUUAAAGAUGGCGUAUUUUUGAAUGGUGGAUGUUCUAUAAACAUAAUACCAAAAUGUGAUUAGAAAUUUAUUCAACUUGCAUGGAUUUGAUAAUAUCAGUCAGCACACUGGUAUCUAUCUGAAAAAUUAUGGUUCAGAAUCAUGCACUUCAGAACCCUGGAAAUCAACGAUGAGGUAGUGGAAACUCAAGCCCAGUGCAACUGCUUCAUCAAUGAUUACCCAAGCCCACGAUAAUCGUUGGGAAAAAUAAAAUGAGAGUUUUAUUAUUUUAGAAUAAAAAAUUUAUCAAUUUAAAAAAAAAUCGCUGCAUCGCCCACAAAGUUUAUCAAUUUUUUAUACCAUGUAAAAAAAAUUCGGUGUUAUUAAACUCGGCCGGCCAUUGACCUGGAUAAAAAACUGAAUGGAUGAAUUACAACCUAUAGAUUAAUGAUUCAAUUAGUGGAUGGUAAAAAUAUUAAUAAUAUAUAUUAUUAUUAUUUUAAAGAGAAUAAUAUAUUUUAAUUAAGUAAUUAUAAUUUAAAAUUAUUGUAAUAUAAUAAAAAAAAUUAAACUUCUCGAAAAAAUCAGGAUUUAUGCGGUUGCGCGAUUCAACUCAACUACUGGUCGAUUAGUUCAAUUCGAUUCUCUUUUUUAAAUGAUUAAAAGCAAAAUCAACUUGAUUUUGACGCUAGUUAUCCGGUCAACCCAUCGGUGGAGCCAGUUUAUAUGUAUAUUUAAAAAAUUCAUUUUUUUAUUUCAAUUUGCUGCUCCGGUUUUCAUACACUCAAAAUUAGGGAUGAGCAUUUUUGUUAAUCCGAACCAAUCCAAAUCGAAUAAUUUAAUCUAAAUUUCAUAAAUCUAUUAUUCAAUCCAAACCACAUUUAAAAUAAAAUAAAAAAUAAUCGAAUCCAAUGAUAUGCGGUUUUAUAAAAAAAAUCGCAACCGUCCGGAUAACUGGAUUGGUAUUUUCAAUCGGUUAAUCCAAAUCCAAAAUUUUUCAAUAUAUGUGUUUCUAUUUCCAGAUUUGCAAUUUAUACUCUUAAAGCAAUUAUUUACACAAACUUAUAAAUUUAUAGACAAUUGUAUAGAAUAAAAAUAAAUAAAUAAAUAAUAAAAUUGAUUAAUUAAUCUAACAAGUCACAAGUGUCCAAACACAAAUUACAAAAUUAUAAAGAUAGUUAUAUCUAAAUCCAACUAUCCAAAUAACAAUAAUAUAAUUAAUAUUAAAAGAAGCAUUCAUUAAACUUUAUUCAUUUAAUGUUAAUUAUAUUAAUUGUUAUUUAAACUUUAAAAUUAUAAUUAGUAUUCAGUUAAGCAUGGUUUUCUUUAUCGAUGGUAUUAAAAGUCAUAUCAUAUUAUUGUCAGCCGUCACAAAAGCUAUACAAAUAUAAUUUGAGUUCUUUGUUUCAUUUUAAUGUAAGGUAAAAGUCAACAUUUUGACAAAAAAAAAUCUAAAAUAAAAAACAUAUAUAUCUUAAAUACGAAUUUAGUUAAUUUGGAUUAACCUAACCGAAAUUUUUUCAUACUAACUAUACUAUAACUGAAAAACUAAAUUAAUAUUUAUAACUAACCAAUCAAAACUUAUCUGAUGACAACCGAACCAAACUAAAAUUACUCUGUUGGAUUUGGAUUGUCAGUUACCUCCGCAAAUCGCUUACCCUAAACGUUGACGUGUCACUUUCAGACCUGUUUGUGUUUGGUAUUUAUAUUAAAUGUUAGACGUUUCAUGCAAAAUCUUAUCUUUCUUGCUCCAUUUAGGAAAAUUGGCCAAGUAGCAGAGAAUGGAUAGAAUUCCGGAGGCAAGCAUAGGCUCAAGUGGCCAAAAAAUUCCAAUUAUAGGUUUUGGAACAGCUGAUUUUCCAUUUGGGGAUUAUGAAGCAGUGAAACAAUCUGUUGUUAAUGCAAUUGAAGUUGGCUACAGACACUUUGAUACUGCUGCUGUUUACCAGUCCGAGAAGCCUCUCGGCGACGCUAUAGCUGAAGCUCUGCAACGCGACCUAAUCAAAUCACGGGAUGACCUCUUUAUCACUUCUAAGCUCUUCUCCAGUAACGCUCACUCUCAUCUCGUUCUUCCGGCUCUGCGAGAGACUCUCCGGUUAGCACUCUACAAUUCAUGGUUUUUUUACUAAUUGUGCGAAUUGAAAGAUUCUUUUUUUGGUGAUUGUCGUUUUAAUGGAUGCAGGAAUCUUGGAAUGGAGUACCUUGAUUUGUUUCUAAUUCACUUUCCAGUGAGUUUGAAACCAGAAACCCAAUUCCCGUUGAAGCCAGAUGAUGUUGUUUUAAUGGAUUUUGAGUCUGUUUGGAAGGCUAUGGAAGAAUGCCAAAAUCUUGGCCUCACAAACGCAAUAGGAGUCAGCAAUUUUACUUGCAAAAAGAUUGACAAAUUACUUGCCACUGCAACAAUCCCUCCGGCAGUCAAUCAAGUAAGGUCAUUUUCUUUUUCUUUAUUUUCUUUUUCUUUAUUCGUUUGGAAGUCUAAAAACCGAAAUAAUAACUCUUCCCUUAUUUAAAAACACUUGUUGAUCUUUUCUUAGUUAAAACAUUUGUAAUUGAAGAAAACAUUUGUAAUUGAGAAGAGUGGAACCUGAAACCUCCAUCUCAUUUAAUAAAUGAGACGACCACCAAACCUGAUUACCGAAUCGCUAUAAAGUCAUUUUCUUUGAUCUUGGGCUUGCGUUAAUAUUUAAUUUUCCUUCUUUGGAUUAUGAAUCACGACAACCCUCUUCCCUCUUCGACAAAAUAGUAGAUAGCUGAUUGUGGGGUGGAAUUUAGGUUAUGCAUGGCUAAAAUAAUGGCCAAUAUAACGAAAUCCAAGAGGAAAUGGACGUCCAUUACGAAAUUUCUAUACACAUAUAUAAAGAGACAAAACUUCUUUUUAUUCAGUCUAGUCAUGUCUAAUGUAUCCAUAUCAUAGUGGUUGAUUUUUUCAAGUAAUUAAUUAUUUAGUCCUUAAUAGUUUUUGUUAAAUUGCUAUCACAUCCCUAUUAUUUUCAAAAUCACUCAUUCAUUCUUCAGACUUAAUCCCCUUAAAAUAUUUAACCCUUCCGUCUAGAGUAUUAUUUUUACCAUAAAUAAGAAUCUAAAUAAAUUAUAAAAUUAUAUUAAAUGUGAAUCACAAAAUAGUCAAAUAUUAUAGGAUAUUUUAACCCAAAAAAAAAAAAAUUUAUCAGAUGUAUUGACCGAGUAGUUUAAAGAUAGUAAGCAGCCCUCAAAGACUAUCAAUAAUUUUGCCAAAUAAUAAGAAUGUAAUAUGCAUUGACUAAAUAAUUAAUACCCUCUUCAAAAAAAAAAAAAAAUUACCCUUUUUAUUCAUUUCCUCAUGAAAUAGCACUUGUAGACUUUAUAAUUGUUAUACUUUAGUUUAAAAUAGCCGAUCAAGAUUGUUAGUCUUCCUAUAUUUUGUAGAAAAUGUGGAGAGUGAGAGUUCAAGUUUAACUCAUCUUGACCAUAAAGGUUAUCAUCAAUUAUAUUUUUUUACUCAUUUGUUUAUGCAAUUGACGAAAAGAGAGAGAAAAUUGUUCUAUGAAAAGUAACAAAAAGAGCAAGUAAACGAGAGAGAAUAAGCAUUGUUGCUGGGGUUAAAAACUGAUUUUAUAUCUAGCAUAUCAUCUACAUUAACUUCCUGAUAAAAUUUAUUUGAAAAUUAGUAGAAUAUUGCAUAAAUUAAUAUUGGAUAAUUUUUAUGUUGUAAAUUGAUGUUUGUAUUUAAUGUUAACUUAAGAGAUGAUGGGUUAAAAUUUAACUUAUUCAUAUUUAAUGAUUUUCCUCUAAAUUACCUAUUAAUAAUUUACAUUCUUUAGACUAGAGUGUAGCUCAAUUGAGGACCUAGCUAGAAUAAAAUAGUUUUUCCUGGUCAGUGUAACCAUAAUACAUCUGACAAGGACCUAGUUAGGAAAACAAUUAAUUUUGAAUUAUGUUAUAUAGUAAGAACAAUAGUUUUAAUUAAUGUGUAUACGUGUGUUUUACUUCCUAAUAUACCUUGUUAUGUUUUGAGAAGGUGGAGAUGAACCCUUAUUGGCAACAGAAGGAGCUCAGGAAAUUAUGUAAAGAAAAAGGUAUCCUUAUAACAGCCUAUUCUGCAUUGGGAAGCAAAGGGACUCCUUGGCAAGGUAAGCAUAGACCUAUAGAAUGUGAUGUCAUGAAACAGAUUGCCACUGCUAGAGGAAAAUCAGUUGCUCAGGUAAUUUACAUUUACAUAUAACCUAUAUAUGUAGCUAGUAUGAAAGAGAUAUAUGAGCUCUAAUUGGGUGCAUGCAUGAUCAGGUGUGUUUGAGAUGGGUAUAUGAGCAAGGUGUUAGCGUUGUAGUAAAAAGCUUUAACAAGGAAAGAAUGGAAGAGAACUUGAUGAUAUUUGAUUGGGAGCUCAGUGAAGAAGAGCUGCACGAGAUUGAUCAAAUUCCACAGAACAGAGGUACUCUUGCUGAGCAAUUUGUCUCAAAUGAAGGCCCGUACAAGUCGCUCUUUGAGCUCUGGGAUGGAGAAAUAUAACACUAAUAAUUUUUCCUUUUCAAUAAACCCCUCUUAUUUAAUUAAUAUAAAGGAAUUUGAUGUAUAAAAUACAUUUAUAAAUGAUAGGAUUUGGUUUGAGGUUCGGAGGCGGAAAGCCUGCUAUUAUACUGUGAAUUUGUGGACUUUCAUGCUUCUUGAUAUUUAGGCACAAGUAAUUUAUAGCGUCACAUCUUCUAGAUAAGUGAAAUUUGAUAACAAUUAAAAUGCAUAUGGUUUUAUAUACAAUUUGUAUUGUUUUAGUUGUGUUUUGAAUUACUUUAAUUAAUAAAUUAGUUCCAGUAUAAAUAAAUUCUUUUGUUUUUUAUUUUAUCAUGAGCUGAAUGAAAUAAAAAGAAAUACACUUUAUUUAAUAAAUUGACGUAAACUCUAAUUUAUACUCUUGAGAUAACCUCGAAAAUGAUCAUUCGGUGUGUUAGUUAGAAGCAUCAAAUUAGUUUUUGUAUAGCUGUCAAUGUCAUUUACUGCAGUAUCUUUUGCCCACGAGUUGGUUGCAAUUAUCUUGUUAUUUUAUUGGCUUAGGCGGCGGAAAAAGAAAGCCAACCAUAAAAGAGAAGUGAACCCUGCCCACGAGUUGGUUGCAAUUAUCUUAUUAUUUUAUUGGCUUAGGCGGCGGAAAAAGAAAGCCAACCAUAAAAGAGAAGUGAACCCUGCCCACAAGUUGGUUGCAAUUAUAAAUAGAAAAAGAGAGCAAUAAGGAGAGAGGGACACAAAAAAACACAAGGCAUUUUGCUUCUUCUUCCCAACACAAAACCACUAAGGAUCAACUAAUCAAAGAAGCAGCCAACACUUGUCAAGGAAAAAGAGGAGGAUCUUGCAAGGCCUAUGAGAAGGAGAGACAAUAGCUGAAUUAAAAGGUUUGGGUUGAGUUCAAGGGACAGUAGCAAAAAAGAAAAAAAAUUCAAGUGUAACUUGAGUCUCAUGCCUUAUUCUCUCUAUUUUUAUUUGAAUAUUAUUAUGAAUAUUGUACUAAACUCUAAAUCUAGUUAUGGGAACUAUUUAUUAGAUUAAUGUGUCCAAGAAUAGUUUGAUUUAUUCUUAUAUAUGCCUAAGAUUUCCUGAUUUAAUAUGUGUAUUAAUGUCUGUGGAUAUGUGUCACGACCCAUUUCCAUGGACCGGACCGGCACUAGGACCUGGGUGGGCUUAAGGCCCCCGAAGCCCGUAGUAAGCCUAACUUAUUUAAAUCUCACUUUCUAUUCAUAAUUAUGGAUUCAGGCCCAUUAACAUUUUAUACAUAUGCAUCCAUAAUGCAGUUCAUAUACUUAAUAUGGACUUUUACUAUUUGUUUACAACCCAACUGGAAUACAAUUGCGGAACUCUACCUUUACAUUCACAUCGUUAUUUCUAUCAUUAACAAUCUUCUACAAUAAGUGUCUCAACUCCAUAGGGCUUUCCUUUCUUUCUAUUACCUGAAAAAAAUAGUAGGCAGGGAUGAGCGCCAAACUCAAUGAGUAGGGUUAGAUAACCCUCUCACCCCACACAAUCACACAGAUGCUAAAAUAUUUUUAUCCGGUUACCGUUUAAUUAUAUGAUCAUGCACUUUGUCACACAAAUGGCAAUACAACAGCAAUCACAAGUAUUAUCACCUUCAUAUAAUCACAUCACGUGGAAAUUAGUCAGUGGAGUCACCGAACCCC
rnacentral:lncRNA from 1 species